rnacentral:lncRNA from 1 species
CCCGUAUUUAUAGGCAAGGCUGUGGUUCGGUGAUGAGACCUGGAGUGAUCCCGGAUUGGUCAGUCCGAGAGACCACGGAUCGCUAUCUUUUCUAACGAAAGAUCUGGACGGUACAAGUGGGGAAGUAUCUAGACGUUGUUUAAAUAACUCGUAGUGGGUAAAUGAGAAAAAAUCUAUGUGCGUCCUUAUCCGAAUGGCUUGAACUAUGGUUUUUGUAUUUUCUCUCAUGGCGUGGGAGCUUGUGUUUUCUUGCUGGUUUUACGCCUCAUUUUCAAUGGAUUUUGUUUGGUUUUGUUCUUGAUAUCUAGUGGGAUUGAAGUUAAGAAACAGCAGAUUCUAAUGCGGUUUCAAUGGGUUUAAAAUGGUUAAUAUAUGGUUCAUAUCAAGGCAUGGAAGAACAACAGUGUUUUUUAAAUGUAUUUUCCCAUCUCAUUUUCGUUUAUUUAUUUGUAUAUAUAUAUUUUUUGGAUUGAUUGGGAGUGUGAGGUUCUAUCUCUCCAAUGAAAUUGUGAUAGUGUUUUCUAUGUUUAAUUAGGAAUUGAAAAUACUUUUGUUAUGAAAAACACCCAUUUAUCAUGAUACAAUAAUUAAUAUAUAUAUAUAUAUAUAUAUAUAUAUAUAUAUAUAUAUAUAUAUAUAUAUAUAUAUAUAUAUAUAUAUAAACUUGAGUGCUUUUGAAAAUAAUUUUAAAAAACGUUUCUUAUAUUUCUUAUAUUUAAAUAAUAAAAAAUUAAAAACAUUUUUUGAAAUCAUUGUCUAACGGGCUCUUAGCCCUUUUUUAAACUCAUCUACGCCACUUAGACAACUUUGAAUAGAUUGUCUAAACAUGAUUAGUGGAGCAUAAGAUAGAAUGGGUAUGAACAAAGAUAUUACAAAUUUUAUAAAAACUUACACAUGUUUAUAAUGAGUUUAUUGAAAAAAAAAAGUAAAUUUUUUUUUACAAAAGCAUAUUUUAUAAAUAAAAUUUCAUGAAUAAAAGCAUCAAAAUUUUAAGCAAUGUCUAAAAAUAGAUAAAGAUUUUUUAUUUGUAUUUUUUUUUUUUUUAUCUUCAUGUCUGAAAGAAAAACUGUUAUAUAAGUGCUAGUUUACCUGCAUUUUCGUUUUUAAAAAUAAAAACAAUGAUUAUUUUUAUAUAAAAUAUAAUAAUUUUUACAUAAAAAAAAUAGAGAUUUAUCUUAUAUUCUUAAAAAUUAUUUUAAUAAUUUUUUAAAUGUAAGAAAAUAAUUUUAUUAAUAUUUAAAUUUUAAAAUUUUUAUAACGUUAAUUUUUUAUAUAAAUUAUUAUUUUUAUUGUAAAAUGCAUAUUUUAUAAAUAAAUUUUCAUGAAUAAAAGCAUCAAAAUUUUAAGAAAUGUCUAAAAAAAGAUAAAGAUUUUUUUUUUAAUUUUUUAUCUUCAUGUCUGAAAGAAAAACUGUUAUAUAAGUGCUAGUUUACAUGCAUUUUCGUUUUUAAAAAUAAAAACAAUGAUUAUUUUUAUAUAAAAUAUAAUAACUUUUACAUAAAAAAUAGAGAUUUAUCUUAUAUUCUUAAAAAUUAUUUUAAUAAUUUUUUAAAUGUAAGAAAAUAAUUUUAUUAAUAUUUAAAUUUUAAAAUUUUUAUAACAUUAAUUUUUUAUAUAAAUUAUUAUUUUUAUUUUAAAAAACAAGAAAAAUAAGUGCACCCAGUCGACACCUAAAUCGUUUACUGCAUGGAAUUUAUGGGAAAAAAAAUUCAGUGGUGGGCCCAAAAUCAGGUGGCCUCCACGCGUAUCCACCAAACUGGAACCUUGAUUUCAAGUCAAAGCAAAGCACUUGGAAUCAGCUCAGCAGAAAUUAUAGGUGGCAAAUUGCGCCGUUAGGGCAUUGUGAUUCAAAGUAGCCUGUGGCAAAAAGGAGACAGGUGAAGGAAGGCGGUUCCCAUUGGGUGAAAUAUCUUUAAGAAAAAUUAAUGUGGGUCCAUGCAAAGGACUAAAAUGAAAUCAAUUUGAUUAGUAGGGCCCCAUAAGUUAAUAAUGAUAAUGAUCCGGCUAAUGGUUAAGAGGGUGGUUACGAUGACUAAAAAUAAAGCGGGGGUAAAUUUUAAAAUUAAAUUGAAUUGUCAACAAGGGUAAAUGCCAAUUGCCAAGUAAUGGUUAAUUAAAAAAUUCCAACCUAUGUUUCUAUUUUCGAAGUUAAAAUUAAUGAACUAGGCGGAGAGGUAACGUCUAGUCAUUCAUCGACUUUGGGAAAGGAACUUGAUGAAUAGUUAGUCAUCAAUUUAACAUCAAUCAUCUUAUAUUAGUUGAAUAGACUAAGAUGGUGUUUGCUUUUCUGGCUUUUUGCUGAAAACAAUUUGUUUUUAGAAUUUAAGUUGUUUGUUUUUCUAUUUUUUCAUGACUUAUUAUAAACUUUUUACUAAAUAGAAAUAGCCAAAUAUUUUGACUUUUUCUAAAUAGAAAAAAUAACAUAUUAAUUUUUCUUUACUUUUUAAUACUUAAUAGAAACAAAAUACUAUAAAAACAAACAAACAACCUGAUAUAUAACAAUAUUAAGCAUUAAGGUUCUAUUUAGAAUUAAGUAAAAAAACAAAUACCACCUAAGAUGAUAUUUGUUUUUUUGGCUUUUUACCGAAAAUAAUUUCUUUUCAGAAUUUAGGUUGUUUGUUUUUCUACUUUUUCAUGACUUAUUAUAAACUUUUUAUUUAAUCGAAAAAACCAAAAUAUGUAAUUUUUUCUAAAUAGAAAAAAUAACAUAUUAGUUUUUCUUUACUUUUUAAUACUUAAUAUAAAUAAAAUACUACUAAAACAAACAACCUAAUAUUUAAUAUUAUUAAGCAUUAAAGUUCUAUUUAGAAUUAAGUAAAAAAACAAACACCACCUAACACUUUCUUGAUAUCCACCUUAUACUUCAAUGGAAAGUAACCAAUAGACUAGCAAACAUGUUAUACUCUCUCUAGCUGUAAGAUAUGGGUUGAUUAAUAACACAAUGCUUGACUCCAAAAGCUAUUGUGAAGCUUCACAUUGAGAGACUACAGUCGUAAGAGUAGUAUCCAACAAAUAGCAUCGGGGUGUCCACCCUUAGGGGAGUUGUCUUGUGUAAUGUAACAGUAAGUCAUGGUUAUAUCAAUAGAGGCAUAUCCCAAAGUAUGUUUCUAUUUUCUAAGUUAAAAUUAAUGAACUAGGUGGAGAGGUAACAUUUUGUCAUUAAUCAACUUUGGGAAAGGAAUUUGAUGAAUAUUUAGUCAUCAAUUUAGUAUCAAUCAUGCGACAUUAGUCCAAUAGACUAACACUAUUGUAGUGUCCACCUCAUACUUCAAUGGAAAGUAACCAUUUGACUAGCAAACAUGCCAUACUCCCUCUAGCUAUAAGGUAUUGAUCAAUAACACAAUGCUUGGCUCCAAAAGGUACUGUGAAGCUUCACAGUGAGGAGACUAUAGUUUUUUUUUUAUAGGCAAAAGCACAAAGAUAUAUUAGAGAAAGGGAGCUUGAAAGGCAACCCAGAGCAUACAGGGAGUAUACAAGAGACACCUAAAACAAGCAAUAAAAACACAAGCACUCACCGGCUCUCAACAAGAACCCAACCAAUCCACAAAGUUAAACAAAGAUAAAGGGCCUACAACUAUAGAAGAAUUAGCCCAGGAUAAGAGAUUACAAACAAAUGAGUUUUUCAAUCUUUGAGUCGAUAAAGCCUCGUUAUCGAAGACUAUCCUAUUUCUUUCCUUCCAAAUUGUCCAAAAUAAACAGAGAGGAGCUGUCCGCCAAACCUUUCUAUGAUUCUUGUCCUCAAAAGAGACAUACCAACUUAAUAGAGUGUCUCUCACCGAAAACGGCAACACCCAAUUGACCCCAAACAGAGAAAACAUGAGAUCCCAUAGAAUCUUCGUCUUAGAACAAUGAACAAGGAUAUGAUUUAUCGUUUCCUCUUCAACGCAACACAAGCAACAUCUAUUGGCUAGAAUCCAGCCCCUCCUCUUAAGCUGAUCUUGAGUAAGGACUUUCUCCUAAGAAGCUUCCCAAGCAAAAAAACUCACCUUUGAAGGAACAUACGGACUCCAAAUGAUAUUACCCAGAAACGGACUGCACAGCUAUGAUCAAGAGACUUGUAGAGAGAUUUUACAGUGAAAAUCUCAUUUUUCGUCCCUCUCCACAACAUCCUAUCCUCCCCAUCAGCAUCUAACUUCUUCCCUUGAAUGGACGAUAGGAGUCUCUCCACCUCCUCCACCUCCCAAUCGUUGAAAGGUCUAAGGAAAAGUGGAGUCCACCCUCCCACUUCCCCCAUUGGGUCCCAAUAGUCCGCAACCCACGCAUCUUUAGACCCCGCUAAAUCAAACAAGGAGGAAAAAGCCUCACAAAGGGGGGUGUUCCCGCACCAAAUGUCUUUCCAAAAUCUCACCCUUUUACCAUCCCCCACCGAGAAAGAUACAUUAUUGAGCAGUAGCAAACCUUCCUUGCUGAUUUCCUUCCAAAGCCCAACCCCAUGGCCUUCCCUAGCCCCGCAAGUGCUCCACCCUCCUCUUUCAACCUCAUACUUCGAACUAAUAAUAAGCUUCCAAUAUAAGUCUCUUUCAACCGCAUAACGCCAACUCCAUUUGCACAAGAGGGCUCUAUUAAGAAUGGAGAGAUUUCUAAUCCCCAAUCCACCCAUCUUUUUGUGAGUACAGACAAUAGCCCACUUAACAAGAUGAGGCCUCUUCUUCAACGCUCCCCCUCCCCAAAGAAAGUCCCUUUGAAUUUUCUCAAGUCUUAAUUUAACCACUCUUGGCAUGCGCAAUAAUGACAUAAGAUAAGUUGGCAUGCUCGCCAAAGUACUCCGGAUGAGAGUGAUUCUUCCUCCCUUAGAAAUGAAUUGCCUCUUCCACAAGGCAAGUUUCUUCCUCAUCCGCUCUUCCACUCCGUCCCAAACCUUCACAGACUUAUGCGAAGCUCCCAAAGGGAGCCCCAAAUAGGUGGAAGGGAGAGAUCCCACUUUGCAGCCAAGCUCAGCUGCCAGUAACUCAGCAUUCUCCACUCUACCCACCGGCAAAAUCUCACUUUUGUUCAAAUUAAUGCGCAGUCCUGAAGUGGCUUCAAACCACAUUAAUAACCAACUUAGAAAAGCCAAUUGCUCUUGAGAGUCAUCACAGAAGACCAAAGUAUCAUCGGCAAACAGCAGGUGCGUAACUUGGAUCUCGAUACCUUCCCUUCCCCCUAUCCUGCAGCCUGAAAGAAAGCCCCCUCUCACUGCUCUGUUAAUGAGACUACUUAAGGCCUCCAUUCCUAAGACGAAAAAAUAAGGAGAGAGUGGGUCUCCUUGCCUUAACCCCCUGGAGCUCCGGAAAAAACCGGUAGGAGAACCAUUGACCAAAACCGAAAACGAGGCAGUGGAUAUGCACCAUCUGAUCCACCCAAUCCAUUUCUUCCCAAAACCCAUACUUUGCAUCACUGAUAGCAGAAAAUCCCAAUUAAUCCGAUCAUAGGCCUUCUCUAAAUCCAAUUUACACAAGACCCCACUUUCCUUUCUUUUCAGCACGGAGUCUAUGACCUCAUUAGCAACUAAUGCAGCAUCAAGGAUUUGCCUACCUUCAACAAAGGCAUUUUGGGUUGAGGACACCACUUUUCCUACUACCUUUUUCAAUCUAUUGGCUAAGACCUUAGCAAGUAGCUUGUAGAGACCCCCCACCAAACUGAUGGGUCUGAAAUCACUCAAGUCUUCAGCCCCACACUUCUUUGGGAUUAAAACUAAGAAGGUGGUGUUCAGGCUUCUUACGAAUUUUCCCCUCUCAUAAAAAUCCUUGAAGAAACCCAAGACCUCAUCUUUGACAAAAUCCCAACAAAAUUGCCAAAAUGCAAGGGAGAACCCGUCCGGACCAGGGGCCUUGUCCCCAUUCAGAUCUGAUAGGGCCAAGAACACCUCAUCCCCAGAAAAACUCUCCACCAGCCUGGCUGCCUCUUCAUCCCCAAUUCUGUCAAACUCAAUAUUGUUGCAGCAAGGGCGCCAUCCUCCAGGUUCUGAUAAAAGGUCCUUAAAGGCCCUCACCACUCCCCUUUGAAUGUCAUGAUCAUCUGAAAGCCAGGUGCCAUUGACUUUAAUUUUUUUCAAACAGUUCCUCCUUCGGUUCGAAUUUGCCAUCUUGUGGAAAAAUCCCGUGUUCUUAUCGCCUUCCUUCAGCCAAAUUUCUCUCGAUUUUUGUCUCCAUGAAGUCUCCUCCAUUAGAGCCCAUUUCUUAAAUUCCUCCCUAGCCUCCUUUCUCGCCUCUAGCUCCUGCUCAUUUAAAGCUCUAAGUUGCUCCUGAUUAUCCCAAUAGGAUACUUUAUCCAGAGCCAACCCUUUAUUCACCCCCACUUUGCCAAAGACUUCCGAGUUCCAUUCCUUCAGCUUAAUUUUCAAGGCCUUCAAUUUUUCUGUCAAGAUGAAACUGUAGGACCCACUAUAAUUAAAUCCUUGCCACCAGCCCUUUAACAGCUCCUUAAACCCCUCCUCCUUCAACCACAUAUUCUCGAACCGAAAUGGGAUUGGACCUCUCCUCAUCCCACCCCCAUCUAACAGGAUUGGGAAGUGAUCGGAUACCGGUCUUGGGAGAGAACACUGAAUCGCCCCACUGAAAUGAUUCUCUCAAUCCUCCGAAAUCAGAAAACGGUCCAGUCUGGACCUUGAAAGACCAUUCAGCCCUCCACUCCACGUGAAUAACCCCCCAUGGAGAGGCAAAUCUUUUAAAGUCAACUCCUCAAUCACCUCUGAAAAUCUUCUCAUAGAACCAGUCAGUCUUUCUUCUCUACUACGCUCACUAGGAAAUCUGACCACGUUAAAGUCCCCGCCAAUACACCAAGGGUCAGACCACAGCCCUCGAAUGGCUCCUAGCUCUUCCCAAAACAACUCUCUAUGCCAUUUCAUAGUGGGUCCAUAAACUCCCGUGAAGGUCCACAAGAAGCCAUCUUCACAAUUUUUAAAGCAACAAGAGACUGAGAAAAGACCCACCUCCAUGCCCAUUAACUCCAGAACCCUGUUAUCCCAAAACACUACAACCCCACCGGCUGCCCCCCUUGCACUCAUAGCACCCCAAUCUAAGAAUCUUCCCACUCCAAGACUAUGAACAAUCCCUCUGGACAUAUCUUGAAUUUUGGUCUCCUGUAGACACACCAAAUCCGCUCUUUGGGACCUGAUCAAAGCCUUAAUAACUUUCCUUUUAUCCCUAUCAUUGGCCCCUUUUAUAUUCCAAGAUAUAAUCUUUAUCUUCAUCUAAGGUUCGAGAUUCUGCCCCCUCCAUCUCUGACCAUAGAUUUCUCCUUCCUCGCCCCUUUGUAAUUGAUGGACCACUCUAAUUUCUUCAAUUCACGAUCAAACUUAGUGGACCCCGAAAUGUCUUUCUUAAUAUUCUGUUCCCUUCUCUCUGUUCCUUAGAAGCAAGUUCANNNNNNNNNNNNNNNNNNNNNNNNNNNNNNNNNNNNNNNNNNNNNNNNNNNNNNNNNNNNNNNNNNNNNNNNNNNNNNNNNNNNNNNNNNNNNNNNNNNNNNNNNNNNNNNNNNNNNNNNNNNNNNNNNNNNNNNNNNNNNNNNNNNNNNNNNNNNNNNNNNNNNNNNNNNNNNNNNNNNNNNNNNNNNNNNNNNNNNNNNNNNNNNNNNNNNNNNNNNNNNNNNNNNNNNNNNNNNNNNNNNNNNNNNNNNNNNNNNNNNNNNNNNNNNNNNNNNNNNNNNNNNNNNNNNNNNNNNNNNNNNNNNNNNNNNNNNNNNNNNNNNNNNNNNNNNNNNNNNNNNNNNNNNNNNNNNNNNNNNNNNNNNNNNNNNNNNNNNNNNNNNNNNNNNNNNNNNNNNNNNNNNNNNNNNNNNNNNNNNNNNNNNNNNNNNNNNNNNNNNNNNNNNNNNNNNNNNNNNNNNNNNNAAAGCUUGACUCUCCGAGCUAAAUAUCUGAGCCAUAGGGCGAGAGGCCGAAGGUGCUUCCCCACGGACAAAAAAGUCAGCAUCUCCUGAGCCUUUCUCCACGCCUGGCGAUUAUGCCCUAACUCGAGGACUCGAGAUUCCUUCACCAUUUAAAUCUCCUCCUUCCGCUGCAACAGGCCUUACAGGCCCAAAACCCUCUCCUUUCUCCCCGUAAGUGACAUUGGGCCUUAAGACACAGCCUAAUUCCUCCUGGGUUUCUUUAAAAGGCCCCUGCCUUAACCCACUUAAAUGAGAAAGGCCCAGAGACACCCCAUGGGCUAGCCCUUUUGGCCCGAUGCUUGGCCCAAGAGCUGGACUUUCCAGCUUAUUCAAAAAGAACCCGUCUCCCUCACUAACCCGUCCAUCAGCUGACCCUACUCUACCCUCCACUGCAUCCCCUGCCUCAUAGAACACAGCGGGACAGAGGGUAGAGACGCCUCCACAGGCUGACACGGCACUCACUACCUGCUGCAUCCUCAACUGCUCCACCUUCUCCCUUUGACUUCCACGGCUGAGAUCACGAACAGUUCCACUAGCCUCUUCUCCUUCCCUUGAGCUACCUUCCCCGCUGGAACAUCCCGCCGGCACCACCUGCGUGAACCAGGGGGAAGACUCCCACCAAAGUUGAAGGGAAUAACAACUCGACCCCACAACAAUAUGGGCAGUGCUGGGCAUCUCCCUGUCCACGCACCUCACCAAUAACCGAGCCCAUUGCAUCUCAUGCAAAGAUGAUUUAUCCGCAGCUAUGAAUCCUCCACAUUCAUCUCCAAUUCUUUUAAACACCACCGAGCUUCUUAAAUGCAAGGGGAGUCCAAUCACCCUUACCCAAACUUCUUUUGCCAUGGGCUCCUUGCGAAGACACCCCACCUCAGGGUUCCAUCUCUCCAAGACUAAAACAUUCUCCUUGAAGAUUCUCAGUCCUCUGGCUAAAACACGCUCAGCCUCGUCUGGUAACUCGAAGUCAAAUAGCAAUAAUCCUCUGCCUAACGUGGCCACCCACAUAUUCCCCUUCAAAGCCCAAUGCUUCGAUGCCCAACUUCUAACGUACUCCAUCUCAGGGCAAGGAGCUGAACUAGGUCCCCACCAGCCUACCAGACACUGACUCAUUUGUUCUAUUUUUCCACGCACUUCUCCUUCCCCCACCUCUAACCAAACUGACUGGCCUACCCUUCCCGGGCUUUUCCUUACAGCAUCAGCAUAUGUUUUCAGCUCCACCCCUUUCUCCCUCCACUGGACCUUCGAGCCCCCUUUCGUCCUCAACAAGUCCUCUGACCCUUUAGGACCCUGCAAGCCACCUAAGGGGAUCACACCAAGAUCUCUCAGCCUCUCAGCCAAGGAAUUCCAACCAAAAGACUGACCCUUUCCCUCUGGGACAAUAAUGCUAUACUUUUUUGAAUCAAUGUCGCGAACUGAGCAGAAUAUGAACCUGCCUACCCCAUUCGAACGGCGCUCCAACCUAUACUUUCUAUUCCCCUCCUCCCAGCCAAUAGCCCAAGCACUAUUGUUAACCUCUCUACAGCAAACUUUCACUCCAUCUAGUAAGCAUCUUAAGCUAGCCUCCCUGAAUCUAAUCCAUGAAAAGACCCCUUUGCUCCUCUCCCAAAUGCAACCUCUCAGCUUGCCUCCCACCUCUUCAAUCAAGAUUUCGAAAGAUUUGGCCUCCACCACGAAGCAACUUCUUCCCCCCCCCCUUGAACCACCAGCUUCACCCCUCCUCAUCUAAUUUAAUUGAAGACACUUUUUAGGCAUUCCUUUUUUUCACAAUUAAGAAAAAGAACUCUCAUGAGGAGACUAUAGUUGUAUACUACUCUUAUGGUUACCUUGAUGCUANNNNNNNNNNNNNNNNNNNNNNNNNNNNNNNNNNNNNNNNNNNNNNNNNNNNNNNNNNNNNNNNNNNNNNNNNNNNNNNNNNNNNNNNNNNNNNNNNNNNAUGGUGAGGAGACUAUAGUUGGGAUACCAUAAGAGUAGUAUACAACAAAUAGCAUCAAGGUAACCACCCUUAGGGGAAUUGUCUUGUGUAAUAUGGUUGGAUCAAUAUUAUAUGGUGUUUUCACUAGAAUUUUCCUAUUGAAUUAAUAAAAAACUUCUAUCAUAUCUUAAUUUAUCUGUGUAAUCAUAGGCUAGUGAGUCAGCCAUGAAGAAGCCCCAUGAACCAGGUUAUUCUUCCAGUAAGCCAUACUCCUUAUGAAUGAUUAUUUCUAUUUUGUCGAUCAUAACAUUAGUGCAAAUUUUAUGAUUUAAAGGUCUUGAUUUCAAGCAUAAAAAAGAACCUAGUAUGUGUAAAGAGUGUCAACAUACACAUAUAAUCACCUGAGGAAGAAAGAUAGGUACACUAUACUUUGUCGAGAGGAAUUAGAAUAUUUAGGGAAAGUGAUUAACUCCUUCAAUAGGACUAUACUAAUACUCAUAAGUAUUAAAUUUGCUCUAACGCACCCAAAUAUCAAACUAAUAGGUUCACUUAGUAUCAUUCCUCGUAGGGGGAUGGAAAAUUUUGCUACAACAUAAGCAAAAGUCUCUUCUUUGUUUUGAUCUUUGCGAAGAAACUCUUCUAUGGAAUUACAACUAUAUCAAGUGGGAUUUAAAAUAAUGAUCUAUUUGAUUGUUGCUAAGUGGAUAGCCAAGUUCAAAGGGUUAUGAAUUCAGGUAACGACAUUAGAGAUGAGGAAAGGCAUGGAAUUUUAGUCUAGAUUCCUUAAUCUAAAAUGCAAGGGAAUGAUGUUUGCUCCUAGUCUUUUGUAAGGUUUGAAUAAGAACAGGGUGAAGAGUGGGGAGUGGUAAUGAUUGCAGACUCGUAGUUUUCCUACGCCCAUGAAAUGGAGUAUCAACAUCUACAAUCACGUGAAGGUAUUAACUGAAUAUGGUUUCACUUUAGCAAAUGGUAGGAAUUAAUAGCAAAAUAUGGAAAUUUUGGAUAAAAGUAUGAGAAAAAGCAUGUUCACACUUGGAAGAAGACAUUGACAUCGAUGGAGAUAUCAGCAUAUUGACAUAUGUUAAGUACCAUGCUUAUGCAAAUUUCUUAUCAUGUUUAACAUAUUGAUGGCGUAUGAACCACCAUCAAUAUAUGUCCGUCUCCCACCCCAUUUGGGUGAAGGUGCUAGUGAUGAGAUUGGGUUACACCCUCUAGAUUUCAUCAGUUGCUUCUGAGAAUGCUAAGAGCCAAGGACGGUCAAGCAAACAAAGGGGAACAACAUAUUUUCUUUAAGUCUUCAUCCAAAUCUUCCAAAAAGGGUAACAAAGGAACCAAAUAAUUGGGCAGACUGGUCUUUUGGGGCACUUGCAGGACUUCAAUUGGGGUAACCAUAUGUUCAUUGGCAAGUGGAAAAGGGAAAUUACUAGUCGCUGGCUCAGUUGCGUUUGUAAAUGUUAGUUAUUGUUAGUAUGUGUUUGACUCUUUUCAUCAAUCAGUUAUUUAGUCAAUUAUAGUAUAUUACCCAAUUGAAUACUUUUAGCAGUUCCAAGAGGUUUCAUGUUGAAAUAACAGUUUUUCAGUGUACUCCAGUGAAGUUUUGAAGUGAUUUACUAAUUUCUGUAGGCUAAGCGUUCACACAGGGAUGUAUCACAUUAUACAUAAAGAGCUAGAGCGGAAGAUUCACCAUUAAAUCGAAUCAAUCAAAGAUUGCUAAUGAGAUGAACCUUUUUACCCUAAUAGGGCUUCCCCAGGUUUGGAUUCAUGCUUUAAACACUGGAUACCAUAUUUGUUUCAACACUUUUUAUUAGCUAUAUAUAUACAUCUACAGGAGCCAACAAUUACUUCUGAUAUUUCACCAAUCAAGCUGGGGUGUCUAAAAAAAAAAGCCAACAAUGGCUAAAAGUUAAGAAAAUUAUGGGAGAUAAUUGUGCCAACACCAGAUGUUGGGCUAACAUCUAAUUAUGAGGUUUCAAAAAAUUAGAAAAUAAGCAAGUGUAACAGAAAGGAAAACUCGAAAAUUACAAUAUAUAAGGAACCCAGCCACACCAAUCAUCAGACAGCCAACAACACAUUUGGUGUCUCUAAAUUUUCCAUUCAAUAGUUCAACCAACCAAUGGUUAAUAUGAGAGGAAUAACUGUAAAAUCACAGCUAGGUGAGAAGUGUGCAUGUAGCAAACUAACCUGUACAUGGACCCCAGGAUUUUAGCUUGCAGUACAGACCCUUGAGUGCCGACUAGAUCUUUGAGGAAGGAAUACAGCUUCCACUUUUUCAAACUCUGAUAAUAGACCAAUGCUGAGGUGCACACACUGGAUGGAUGCCUUGGAUACAAAUGCAUUGUGAAGGAGGCAAAUGAUCAUGAUCAAUUGCCCCUUUAUCCUUAGGGCAAACACGACUUAAAACUAAAAAUUACUAGGGUCUGGAUUUGGAAUGGUAUGUACAACUGAUUGCAUCGACAUUAGGUUUUGGAAAUAGGUAGGGUGGAAACCAGACCCCUUAGCAUGACUAUACUUGAGGCGCAACAUAUAUAAACCUUAAAUAAGGAUGCCAUUGUAGCUGUGGCAAGUGGCAUAUGCAUAAAAACAUAUAUAAAUAGACAUAUACAUACAUACGAACACAUGUAUAUAAAUACAUAGAGACACAUUUAUAUACACAAUGAAUUUCUAUUUAGACAAAAGAUAACAAAUGAAUCUUACACACAUUCAUUAGCUAUCAACUUAACUAGGGCAAUAGACUUUGCUUCCAUACUCCAUAAGCAACAGAAACAACAUAUAACAAUCAAUAACACCACAUUUUUUUCGCAUAAGCUUAAUGUCCAAUUCAAGCCAUCAUAGUUCACUCCACAAGUACCAAAACAAAAGUCAUCCUUACCCUCUACCAGACUUAAAUAUUUUUCCUAUGCCAACUACAAACCACAGAAGCUGAAAGCAAUUUAUUAUAAUCAAGGACAAUGCUUAUUGCCACAAUGUCAUUAAAUAUUUUUCCUCUCUUUUGAAUAAAUAUGGGUUAACCUAGGCAAUCAUCCAAAAGGAAAAGACACAAGCAAAACCAAAAAGAGCAAUUGUAUAUCAAUCACGUAUUUUCUUAAAAUAGGUUAAACCUCAUGCUAUUUCUUAUUUGUUAGCUUUAUAAACUCUUUUCAACCUAAAAUAUGAGAAAUAUCUUGAAGAGCUGUACUUAUAACCCAAAACAUUCAUCUAAAUAUGCACCUUUAUUUUCUGUAGAACAAAUUUCAUCAUCCUCUGUCCCUUUCCCUUUCCCUUUCCUUUUCCCUUUCCCUAUUGCAGUUGAGGUUUUAAGUAGGUUGUUGUUUAGAGUGGAGAGCAUUUCAUUGGAAGGCUUCAUAGUGGGUAGGAGUAGGUCUAGAGUGUCUCAUUUGCAAUUUGCUAACACCAUCUUCUUUUCUAGAGCCUGUAUGGAAGAAUUGCAAAUCUCAAGUUAAUCUUAUUGAUUUUUGAGCAGAUUUCAGGUCUGAAGAUCAAUUUAGUCAAGAGCUCUCUCCAUAUUAACAUAAAUCAACAUUAAAUCUCCAGUCCGAAUUCAAUGCUUGAACGCAAAAGUCUUUGCCUGGCCUUUAUCCUACCUGGGUCUUCCAUUAGGGGGAAUCCAAAGGCAAUCACUUUUUGGGAUUCCCUGAUUGACAAAAUUUUGCAGAUAUUGGAUGGGUGGAAAAAACCUUUUUUUGUCACUGGACGGUAGAAUUACUCUAAAACAGACCUAUUUGUUGCAUAUUCCUAACUAUUUCCUCUCUAUUUUCAAGAUCCCAUCUUUAGUGGUUUCUACGAUUGAGAAAUUGCAAAGGGAUUUCUUUUGGUUAAGAGGGAUCACCUUGUUAGUUGGGACCUAGUAUGCAAGUCAACGGUGGAAGGCGGUUUGGGCUUUAGAAAGAUUUCCUUAAGGAAUCAAGCUCUUUUGGGAAAGUGGUUUUGGAGGUUUUCUAAUGAAAGUCAUUCUCUUUGGCAUCAACUUAUUUUAAGCAUCUACGAGACACACACCAAUGGGUGCGACAUCAAUAUCAUAGUUAGGUGGUCACACCAUUCCCACUGCACAUGCUUUUUUAAGAGUUUCCAAAUAUACUUGUUUUGUGGUGGAUGAUGGGGCAAGAAUUCAUUUUUGGGAAGAUUGGCUAGCAGUGUGUAGUUCCAAUAGGAUGGUCUAGCAAAGAGAGUUUGUUUUUUGUAAUUACCAAUUAGCUUAUUGUUUUUGUAUUCUUGUUGUUUGGUUUUCUUUUGUGGGAGGAUUCCUCAUCCUUCUUUUGUACUUCUUAUUUCUAUCAAUAUAUUUCUUUGUUGUUUCCUAUAAAUAAAAAAAAUAAAAAAAUAAAAAAAAAUCUUCCCAUCUCAACCAUCCUAGGCAUUUCUUCCUUUUUUUCUUGGAAUCUUAAUUGUACAACCUCAAUGAUUUGGAUAUAGAGGACCUAAAAAUACUCAUGUCCUCUCUCAUUUGAGUGCACUUGACUCCAUCCAUCCCAAAUGCAAGAGCUUGAUCAUUAUCUUCCUCUAAUUUAUUUUCAAUAAAAUCUCUUUUCUUAGCAUUGCCUAAUCCUAUAGACAUGGUUCUUUUCACUAUAGCUAAAUUUCUACGAAAAUCUAAAGUCUAAUCUAAGGUCAAAGUCUUUACUUGGUUAGUGGCUCACAAGAAUGUAAAUACUAAUGAUAUGCUACAGUGGAGAAAACCUUAUAAAACCCUUAACCUUGAUCUGUGCAUUUUGUGCAUGAGAAUUCAAGAAACAACCAAUCAUCUUUUUUUAAAUUACAUGUUGACUUUAGGCAUGUGGCACAAGCUAUUCAUAUAGAGGUUCUUUUGAGAAGCAUAUGUGAUAUGAUGUUCAUCUCAUAUAGAGGUUUGGGAAGCUCCAUCAAAGGCAAAGUCCUAUGGAAAAUUGCUUGUUUCAUGUUGAUAUGGAUUGUGUGGAAAGAAAGAAAAAAAUGUUAGGAUUUUCGAGGACAAGAGAAGGACUUCAGAGACAAUGAAAUUUAAUUCAUUUCUAUUCAUCCUUUUGGGCAUCUUGUUCCAGGACAUUUAAGGGCAUUCCUCUCAAUGUUGUUCAGCUUGACUAGCAUUCGGUGUGUAAGUUAUAAGGGUUAGCUCAGAGAGAAGAGGAGAUUAGUUUCAAUUUCUAUUUGAAGUUGUCUUAAUCCUAACAGAGGUCGGAGGGGUAAGAGGUUUUUGUUGUAUAUUCUCAUAUGGUUCCUAUAUGGAUGUCCAAGUCUCUUUAGUUUUUAUGGAGAAGGUUUAAUCUUCCAUUUUUUUUACCAUUUUAUGUAAAUCCGAGGAUUCCUCAUCCUUCUCAUGUACUUGCUUUACCUAAUUUUAAUACUUUUAUUUCUAAUCCAAAAGCCUUAAAAAAAAAAAAAAAAAAAGCAAGCAUUGUCUUACACAAAAUUUGAACUAGACACAACCUCCUGAAUGCCUUAAAACAACAUUGUAAUUAAUAUCAUUCUCAAGCAUGGAGAACACAAAUAUCAUAGUCAACACUAUUCUCAAGCACAUGAACCCCUAUCCAACAAAAACAACUCAUAACAAUUUCUGCCAAGGCAAUACCCAGCUACUGCCUCCAGGUGGCAUGAGGUAAACAGCAGUAAACAAGUCAAUUUUCAUCACCCGUCAGUCCAUUUGGUCAUCACCAAAUAUUUCAGAAAAAAGAAAUAAAAAGCAAGCAAUUCAUACUGAAGGAAGAACUCCCUAGAGAUCAACUAACCAAUAGUUAGUAAUAGUUCAAUGUUAAGGGAAAAAGUACAUUGCAGACAGUCUCCAGCCUGAUCUGCUAGUUUGACAAAAAUAUCUAACAUAGGAUCUCUUAAUGCCAGUCAUAAGUUCUUUAAACUCAAAAACAUAUAGAAAACCACCAAAUAAAAUCAGCGGUGAACUUCAAAUUCCAAAAUAGCAGGCAAUAGGACCAUGGAAAGUAUGGUGCAAUGAGGAAAUAUGAGUCCCUGCCUUUCCAUUUAUUUCCACAAACAUUGCUCCCACUUGAACUUUACUUGGAAAAUUGAACUUGCAGCAAACUCAAUUGUGUGCAAAGAUUUCCCGUCAUUUGUCUAACUUUCCAUCAAUUUAAAAUCAUACAGAAGUUUCCUGCCUUUUUGUCCAAUACAAAGAGAGGUGCAUUCUCCUAUAUGUAACUAGCACCUCCCAAUGAUCAUGGAAGAAAGUACUUCUUUCAUAUUCCCCUAUAAAGCCAUGAAGCCUAAAGGACAAAACAAAUCCAGAACAUCUCUGUCAGAACAACUAAAUCCUCAAUUAAAAGAACCAAAAGAACUUCAGGAUCCAGUUCUAAAUUAGCAUCAGAACCUUGGGCAUAACCUCCAGCAGAAAUGCUAGAAUACUAAAAUGAGCAAUAAACAAUUCAACCACCUCAGAUUAGGAGGAUGAUCAUUUUAACAUUAAACCAUGUCUUCUUGCAAGACUACUAGGCACAUCUACAACUAUUAUCAGGAUAAUAACCAAAUAUGAGCCCACCUAAAAAUCAAUUUUAAUAUCAACCCCCGAUCCAGUGCCGGUCAAUCUUGAAAAAAUACCAGAGAUAUCUUCUUAAAAAAUGAAUACAAAAUUGAAUAAGUAUCAAAAGACAUAAUUGACCCAAAUGAUCACUAGUGGUCCUCUAGAAUAGCAUCAAAAACAAAAUGUAUUUAACAUAAUAUCAUAUACACCUCACGGCAGGAUUUGUUCGAGGAAUACCCACACCAUAUCCAUUCAUAUGGUACAACAGAUAUUGAGCUCUAGUUUAUUUUAUUUCCAUGAUGUCCAGGCUGCCUUUACUCAAAGUCCCCCCAAUAUUUACCUAGCUAGCCAAAACAGUAUGGAACAAGAUCCUGGUAUAUCUGUUAGAGACUUGCAAUAUAUUUCAAAUUUAAGAUUUUAUAUUAAGAAAAUCCAACUCCGAUAUGUCAGGCAUGCAAUUGUGUAGCAUCUUUAUCUCCAGAAAAAUCAUCAAGAUAAUCUCCACAAGAGCUUCCCAUCUCUUCCAUAUUUAAAAUUGUAACUUCUGUGCCACCAUCAAUAAAAAAAAACCUGAGUCUAUAACUUUUCACUUCCAAGAAACAAAUAGUCACCCAAUUUGUCUCCUUUUAAGCAUCAAUAUAAAGGAUCAUCCACGUAUAUACUUAACCCAGGACAUAGACCAUAAACAUGGCAAGAGAUCAGUUCCUGUGACUUAACAAAGUAGCCCAUAGUCUAAUGUCCUCUAGCUUUUCAUACCUAUGGCAAGCAAAGCAAGUAUCUAUCAAUAUCCUAAUCAUACAAAAAUUAAAAUAGUCUCUAGGUCAAGAUCCUUCCAAAAGAUAGCCUACACUAGACACAUAAACCUCCGAAUGAUCUGCCAAAUCAAGGGGAAAAAAAGUAGGAAAUUGCAGCUUAUAACAAAGAGCAGGUGGAAAGAAGAAUAAAAAGGAAGGCUGGUUUCAACUACUCUUUCAAGCGGCAACCAACUUGACCAUCAUUAAUGCAGUGCAUCCCAGAUUCCCGGUCCACCUAAACAAGGUCAGAACCUUUGAGAAAUUAAUAGAAGAAAUAACAUCACUGUCAGAAUGGAGAAAUGGAUUUCAGAAGCAUUUGAAUUACCGAAGGUUCUCGAGCUUUAAUAACAAUAGCCUCCCAGAGGAACUUGAGUUUAAUAAUAAUAACCGCCUCGAUAUGACCGAUCAUCUCUGUAAUAGGAAGGAUAUGCACCUCUAUCAUACUGUAACAUGAAUUAGAAGGCACAAUGAGUAUGUUAAAUAUAAGAUGUGAAUAAGGAUAAAUGAAGCAAUGAUUGCUUACAUCAGGACCAUAAUAAUCUUGUGAGUAGAGACUACUGCCAGCUUCAAAAUUAUCUAUCACAAAAAAGGCUUAUCAAUGAUAAUGAGAUAAAAGCAUUGACAGCAUGAAUGAGAAGUAAUCCAGAUAACGAGAAAUAAAAGUUCAUACCCCGAUAACGAGAUCCAUGAAAAUCAACCUCUGGGUCAGAGUAAUCCAGUCGAGGGCGAAACCUGCUUGGUUCCAUGUAACCAGGGUCCCAGUCCUAAAAGCCAAAGGCAAAGUUUCAAUCAAUAAAAAUGUUAUCUGUGGCACUCAAGACGCAAAAAUGUGUAUUUAUAUUUUUUUUUUAAAUGAAAGAGCCAUCUUACUUACUGGUAUAAAUGGUCGUUUUAUCCCACGUGCAUUGUCCUCAUAAAGAUAAGGGUCAUCAAAAUGCCUCCCAGAAAAAGAGUUGUCAAAGUCUUCUUCAGGGAAAAAUGGUUGUUGCCUAAAUGGGAAGUACUUCCCAUGACCCCUAUCAAUUGCACCAUGCCUGGGCCUAUCAAGAUUUGGUCUUGGUGGGACAGCAGCUGGAUAGCCUCCCCCAGAUCCCUGAUAAGCACCCCUCAAAGAACCCCUUCGUCCUCCUGUUUUUGUGCAGUAACAUAUACUAAUUGAGAACAACAUGUAAUCAUGGAGCUUGGAGUGUAUUGAUAUAAUAUCAAAUGCACAGACAUGCAAACACACACAGAAACAAACAGACAUGCACAAACCGGAAAAAUCAACUAAAAACAUUGACCUCUUCCAAAAAAGUGUCUCUCAUGGAACUCAGGGUAUGGACCAUCAAAAUCAGGUGCAUUGGGGAACCCCAAUCUACCAGUUGGACCAUAUUCACGUUGAUAGAAACCCCUGUCACGUUGAAAUUGUGCUCGGUUGAAGUGAUGUCCUCCCCGUCCAAAACCCCCCCUUCCUGUAAACAACAAUAACAGUCAAAAUUGUGCAAACAGUAAUGAGGAUUCAAUUUUCUUUCUUUCCUUUUUAGUUAUAGUAAUGAAGAUUCAAUCAUUCAAGAACUGUAGGCUUACCAAACUUUGAGGAAGAUCCAACACCACCAUGACCAAUCCGAAAUCCACCACACAAUCCCCCCUUCACAGCCUGAGUUUUGGGCAAAGGGUUUGAAAGCCUGACUUUCACUUUUGUCUACUAGUACAUAACAGCAAUAUAAUACACUAUGUUAAUACUAAAUUAAACAACAUGCAAUUCUAAGCAAUUAUCUACAGAAUAGAAGGAGAAUAUUGAUUAAAUUUUAAUAUAGCACUGUGGAAACUAUACAAAGAAAUAGAAAAAGAAGGUUAAUCAUCUUUUAUACAGAGGUUCUUCCCCUUCACCAGCUAUCCAUCUAAAAACAAUGCAAAGUCUUUAAAUAAAUGGCUUUCUAAUGUGACAUGGGAAUUUUCAUUUUUCAAAAAAGGAAAAUACUGCCAGCAAGCACACAGCGAUGGUACUAGAGUUGCUACCUUUGAGUUCCCAUCACACAAUUCUGUGUUGUUUACACUAUCAAUGCAAGAAAGAGCAGCCUCAUGAGUAGUGAAAUCAACAAAACCAAAAUCCUUCCUCUUGGCAGUCGACAUAUUACGUGCAAGCACAAUUCGUUCAAUCUCCCCAUAGCCUUUAAAUUGCUCUCUAACACGGUCUUCAUCCCAGUGAGGAGGGAGGCCAUCAACAAAUACAGACUUAACCUGUGCCAUGAUCUCCGGGUCUGGCUCACGUAAAGGUUCUGCAAAAGCUACUUUUGCAGUUCGCUCAGCAUGGCCAAAUAUAACAUCUGGUUUCUGAAGCCUCUUAUAUGCAAGCAUGGCAUCUGCAUGACAAGAGAACUCAAGGAAAGCAAAACCACGACUCAAUCCUUCAUGUUGAGGAUUUGGGACAAGAGUGAUGUUCCCAACACCUUCAAUGCCAUAGUCUUUCAAUUUUUGUUUGAUCUGUGAAUGAACAAAAUACCAAGAUGAGUUAACAAGCCUAAGAACUAAAUAGACUUUACAACCACAUGAAAUCUUACUGCUUCCUUCGUCCAUGUGUUGCAAAUAUUGCCUAAGAACAAUGUGUUAUUGUCCUCACUGGGUGCAGUUCCACAUCGCUUCCCACAAAUCUGUCAAGGACUCAAAAAGAAGAAAUCAGAACAAACUUUAAAAAUAUGUAACAACAAAGACACGUACAAAAAAAAAAAAAAUAGAAAACAAAGAAAGAUCCUUACAACGGGGUUUUUCAUUUCUGACAAAGCCCGGCUUGCAUGCUCCUUAUUAGCAAACUUUACAAAUGCAUAACCCUUAUUUUUAUUAGAUGACAAAUUCUUGUGCAAUCGAACUUCGACUACCUCUCCAAUCCUCUCAAAGACCUUUUUUACAUCCUCCUCCUCAGCAUCCCUAUCCAAUCCACCAACAAAUAUCUCGUGUGCUUUUGAUAUCUUCCGCUCCUUUGCAAUAGCAGUCAGUUCUCUGUGUUCUUCCUCCAAGGCCUCUGUUUCUUCUCCAGGAUCCACUGCAUCACUUACUGGAAGUUCUUCCUCAGGUUCUUCAAGUCCCUCUUCAUCUCCAUAGUCCAUUACCUCAUCACCAUAGUACUUAUCCUCCUUCACUGGGGCAUCUUCUCCAACUCUAGCCUCAUUUGUUUCUGCUUCCAUGUUAACUUGCUCAUUCUUAGUCUCUUCUUUAUCCUCAACAUGUUUUAUCUCCUCUCCCAAUUCUUCAUUCACAUCCGGCACUUCCUUGGCAAUACUGAUUUCUCCAUUAUCUGGAGAUUUUGCAACAUUCAAGGCAACAAUUUCUUCAUGCUCCGAAGUAUCUCUAGGAUUCUCGGUAGGAACGCCUUCUGGAUGACCAGAACUUGUUUCCUUCUUGUUGGAAUCUUCAACGUUUUUAACAACAGGUCCUUCCUUCUUUGCAGACUCAGUCCCUUCCUUCUCUGUAGACUCCCCCUCCUUUGCAGCAUCAACCCCUUCCUUCUUCACGGGCUCCUCGACCUUUGGUUUUAAAGACUCCCCCAAUGCAGGUGUCUUCGCAGAAACAGCUUUUACUGAAGGAGGAGUUCUAGCUUUUCCCGGCGUUUUCUUCACCACUGAUUUGGCACCUGAAGCUGCUUUCGUCUCUGGUGUUAUUAGAGACACAUUAGCUGCAGUUUUCACCUCUUCAACUACAUAUCAAACCGUUUGUGUUUGAAUCAAUAAAAAAAAAAACUCAAACCGUUUGUGUUUGAAUCAAUCAAACAAAAAAUUAUCUGCGUAAUGAUUCCAACGUAUGCUAAAAUUACAUACAUACUAAUAGACUCCCAUUUCCAAUUCUGAUUCUUUUAACAAUAAUUUCAAAUAUAAUUCCUGAUGUAUGGAAAUAAAUAGAUUAAAUUCUCCGCCAAUUACAUAUAUACUCUAUACUCUCACAUUUGCAAUUAUCAAUCCAUGUAAGGGAAAUCAAGAGUAACCCCUUCCUGGCUGCUGGAAAAAAUAUUGCAAAAAUAAAGAAAGAACCAAGAAUUUUUCUUUCUCAUUUUUUAUGAAUGAAUCAAAGGGCCCCACUGUGGAGCUCUAAUCCAACGAUUUGCAUCAUUUCAGUUCAUUUCUAAAAUUACACAAAACAUCAGGAAAUAAAAUUUCAAACUAUGAUUCUUCUAUUUUCCUUCAUUUUCUUCUAAGCAGCCAAACGGAUCGCAAAACUAACAUGGUAAAAUAGAUCAACAUGUUAAAAAAUAUCCACCAAACAAAACGACUCUUGUCAGAAUCCAGUUAUACCUGAUGCUCCAGUGUUCAAUUCAGCAGCCGCGUUCUGUGUCGAUGUCGGUGUAGUUUCGUUGGUCUUCACCUGCUUCCCUUUGGUUGCAGAGACACGCUUCGUCUCGGUUGAUUUCGGCGUCACCGAUCCUGCCCCCGUUUCGGGCGUGGUCUGAGGAGCCUUGCCGGCAGAUUUCUUAGCCUGCGGCGUCUUCUUUUUGGACGCCGGUUUGGGGGUUUCGGCAUUUCUAGUUCUCAUACUGGUUUGCAGCAGAAGAUUGAAACCCUGGAUGAUCAAAGGAUUUUGGGGAAGGAGCUUGGAACCCUAGAAUUGCCUAGCGAUUGAGAGAGGGAUGGAUUGCUUGUUUGGUAAGCCUGAUCAAAGACAAAGUGAGCAUCAGGGAUUAUACGAUUUACGGUAUGGCCCACAAUAGGUUAUUAAUUUUGGUUACUUCAUCCGUUACGAUAAUCCAACGGCUAAAAAUAUAUAAAACAUUUUUAUAAUUAACAUUUUUAAUAUACAAUUUGCCAUUUGGGUCACACUCGUUAAAAUAUAUUUAUGGAGACAUUAAAGAAGCCCCUAAAAAAGUGGCAUUUGCUAUUUGGGUCCCUCAAUUAGUCAAUAGUCACAGAUUCACGGUGGAGAUAUCCACAAAUUUCAUAACUUUUGGGGAGGUAAGUGUAAUAUCUUAUUCUAUAUUUUCUUCAUACGUCUUUUUCUCAUUUUCUGCCUCAGCAAAUCAGCAUCAAGCGGUAUUAUGUUCCAGUGAGUGAACCGCGAUCGUUCUUCCGAGGCUGUUGGCAGAGAAGCUCUUUCCCCCAACGAUCAUACUCCAACUCAUCUGAAUAAAUGUCAGCAAAAGAAAAAAAAUAGAGAAAAAGAAAAACCAUAGAAUCAAAUAAUAAGUCAUGGGUGCCUCAGAAUCCAUGCUCUCAAGUCCCCAGGUAAGUCUCCAAAUUCAAUCGAAUUUCUUUGCUCGCCGCUGCCUCUGAAGUUUCCCAUGCUCGUUUCCUCUACUGAUUUGUUGUUCUUUCACAAUACUGUUCAAUAUGAUUGAAGAGGGUCGGCGAUGAGAUCACCACCGUCUCCGAGAGAUCAGAAGAUGUAGAUCCCCUUUUGGAGUGCCUGAAAUCCCUCAAAAUUGUGAGAUUCUUCUUUUGUUUCUUUCACAAAAAAUAUUCAUAUUCUUGUCGCUAUUAAAAGAUAAAGUCAGGUUUCUGUUUGGAUUUUCCAAGUGGUUUUAGAAGCAAAAUUUUGCAAGAGAAGAAAAAGAUCCAGAACGAUAACCAAAUGGUACCAGUGUUCAACUUGGGUUUAGUGAUUCUUUUUUUUUCAAUGUUAAUAAAUGUUUCCAGGCAACACCGAUACUGACUUCACUGCCAACGGAGAGCAGCUUGACGGAUAUAUUGGUGAGGAAGCCAUCAUCUUCUUCUGUUUCAGGUGAAUUAUAUUAUCUUUCUUGAUCUAUGGAUCUUUCGUUGGGAGUUAUAGAUUUAGGACUUGAAGUAAGAGUUUGUUUUCGUUGCUUGGUCAUUGACUGUGGAAGUUUUGGUAGUUGGUACUAUUUUCUUGUCAAAAAUGGGAAAGGUCACACUCUAGGAUUGGGAAAGAAAAUAGAAAGUGCAAAUUGAAGAAAAAAAAAAAAGCAAAGGAAAAUGAGAAAUAGAUUUGAAAUUAGUAAAUUAGUUUACAUUUCACUUUUUUUUUUUCUCUGGACAAAUUAAAUAAUUUGAAAAUAUAUAAGUUUCUACCUAAUUUUACUUAUAUUUUUUUUUCUCUUGUACUUUCCAUGAUAAAUUAAAUAUGAGAAAAUCAUUUUCUUUAACAUUUUUCCCCUUUCCUUAGUACUUUCGAGAAGCAAACAUGCCUAAAAGAAUAAAGUGUAAUCUCAUUCACAAAUCUCAUGAUAUAUAAAGAAUUUGGGUUGCUGAUUUGCUGAACUUGGAAUUCUCUCUUUCAACGAUUCAACUCCCGAUAAUUAUUUAUAAGAAUUCUGGAGAGUAAGAUGGCACAAUUCAGUGAUCUUUGGAAAUGGAGGUACACUGACAAAAGGUUGUGGAUCUCUGGAAAAUGAACAAAUAAAAACCCUAGUCGGAAUGUUUUCCACCACCAUUUAUAUGGAGGUUACUUCUUUGCUUUUGUGAGAAAUUAAAGGUUGCACGAACCAAGGAUCAGAUGAGACAAGCUUUUAUGUUGGAUUGACCAUGUGUAAUGGAGAGUCGGAGACCAAUUGUCUGUCUCUCUAAGAUAUGAUUCAAGUUGAAGGAAUAAUAAGGGCAGGGUGCAGCUCAAAAACAUUGGCUUAUAACUAGAAAACUGAAUAUAUGGCCCUAGAGAACUAAAACAGAACGUUUCUAUGGAGAAUUCAACCCCUAAUCCAGGAACUCUCCUAUAUAUUUGCAUGUGUAUCCUUCUAACCAUACAUGCAUAGAAGUUCUCAUCAUGUGUUUGUUUGAGUGGAUUAUUAGAUAUUCAAAGCCAAUUAUUAGUCUCUCUUUCUCUAUGACUGUAUAGGUACUUUAAAUCCAAAGGUGCUACUGGAGCUCUUCUCGAUGUAUCGUGAUUGGCAAGAGGAGAAAACACAAAAGAUUAGCAAGGAACAGGUCUUCCCUGACACUUUUUUUUUUCUUUGGGAGUUCAAGAACAGUGCAGUAUGCAUUUUAAGAGUUUGGUAUGGAUAAGGCUUAGGGUCGAUUGUACAAUCUAAACUUUUUCAAUCUAUUUAUCUGCAUAGAUCUGGACACAAAUCAGAAUUUAAUUUUGGGAGUUACAUCUGCUUUGUAGGCUUCAACAUAGAUUUUAGAUCUCUGAAAAAAUCUAAUCUGGCUUAGAACCUAGUUUUUAAUCCUUUUCAAGGAUGUUUUGUUGAUAACAUACUUAGAAAAAUUAAUGUAAGGUUUAUCCAACCACCAUAGCAAGUAUCCAUUGAAACCCAAUGACAGGAUUUGAAUCUGAUUUGAAUCUUCACUUCAUUACUGACAUCAAUUCCAAUUUCCAAAUUCUACUUGAUCCAAGCUUGGACCCGUGUUUCAGGAUUAGAUUCUCAUGCCAUAACAACCUCACUCUAAUUAUAAAAUGUUACUCUCACCUACUUAACAGAUAAUAAAAUCAGAAUUGAAAAGGCUCAAUUAAAAGUUUAAUCUUUUAGAAACACUAUGUCUUUUUCCCCCUCUUAUCUUAAAUCCAUUGGAAGGGGACAACAGUGGAAACUGGUGCAUUUAAAUGUCAGUAUCAGCCAGUGGAAGAAAGCUGCUUUUGAUCUGAAACAAUCUGGUGUUCUGAUUCUUAUUGCUUGUGAAGUGGAUGACUCUACCUGUGAAAACCUUGUAGGGUGCAUUUGGUAGAUGUGAAUAGAAAUAGGAAUAGGAAUGAGAAUGGAGAUGAACCAUAAACAUUUAAAAGAGAGGAAUCAAAAUCUUGACAGAAGUGGAUUUUGGUUUCCAUGAGAUUGAACUUUCAAUUUGUAUUCUCAUUUCUAAUAAGUUAUGAAAAUGCAAUAAUAAAUAGGAAAUUUCCUAUUCUCAUUCCUUAUUCCAGUGUUUCAAAUAUGCCUUUUGUGGCUGGCAGGAUUAGGAAGCUUGUGUUGCUGAUGUUUAAGAAUUAGGAUUGUUCAUAUUUAUCAAAAAAAAAAAAAAAAGAAUUAGGAUUGUUCAUGAUUUAUAUGAUACUAGGGAACAUAACUUGUUUACCAUCAUUUCCCUGUAAAAACUUGGAUGUUUUUAUUGUGCAUGUAUUAUAAUGUGGUAAAUAUUGUUGCAGGAAGAGAUAGAAAACAAGAUAGAGGUUGCAGAUGCUCUGGCAAUUAAACUUCAUCAACGGUUCAAUUUCUCGGUCUCAGCAAUGAAGACAACUUCACAUCAUCUAUCAGAAGGUAACCUACCGUCUUCCGUCCCUCAUCCCCAUUAAAAGUUUAGCUCACCUUCCCAAUAAUAGUAACUAUUCAGCCUAUCAUUAUCAUAGCAUGGAUGAAAAUUUGGGCCAUGAGCAAUUUAAUUAAUUAACGGAUCAGUUGCUCAAUGACAGAAAUGUAAUAUAAGUAUGGUUGGGCCACUGAAUGGUGAAUCUCAGUUGUAUACCAGAUGAAGGGAGACAUGUAAAUUGGGACCUUACUUUUGUGGAAUCUGCUGAUGUUUCUUACUUUCUGAGCUGAUACCAACUUUAUGGAAUAUGCUUGUAGUUCAUGCAUUGCAAGUGGAAAUUGGUGAACUGAAAGGGAGGUUGACGGAGGUAAUAAGUAACUGUGAUGCUUUAUGCAAGAGAAUUGCCGCGGAGGGGCCAGAAUCUCUUCGGGCAUCUAUCAAACCAUUUGCUGCCGCCACUUCUGAUCUAGAAACCAGCUUUCGCUCAUCUUCUGUACAAAGAGUUCUGGAUGCCAGCCAGCCGACUACAGAAACCAAACCAAAUUGAUUUCCAUUAUUUCAUUCGUGUUUAUAUUCAAGGGUUUUUAAGUUGAUCGAUGCUCGUCUUCCUCCACUGUUAUUUAUCGGCAAUAUGGUCUUUUCAAUUUGUUCAGCUUGCCAGAUUGUCCUCCGGAGGGGCAUCUUUUCCUCACAUGAUUGCGAAGAUGAAUAUGUCAGUCAUAUUUUAGUUGGAGACCGAUCCACCUGUGGUUUCUUUUACCUUCUAAAGUACAACUGAAUCAUGAAACCAUGGAUUGCAAACAUGUAAUUAAUGUUUUUUCUUUCUCCCACUAAAAAAAAAAUGAAAAUAGAGGAGAAUGAUAAAAAGGGCAGAAGACUAUAGAAGAAGCCCCACCGACAUCUUAGCUUCUACAUGGAAUAGGGGGGGUUGCACGUAUGCGAAACAAGAAACAUUGCUCAGGACAAGUGGGUCCAAAUGAAUUCGCCCAAAUUUUCUUUUGUGAUGCAUCCUAGUAAGGGCAUGUUGAACCAGGAUGCCCUGCCAUUGAUCUUGCCGACAUGGAGGAAGUAACAAUUGGAGCGUAGUUUAUCAAUAUCUAAACGCAUCUCAAAUAGAUUUCAAACACAUUUUUUAGACGAAUCCAGAAGCAAUUCGUUGAGGAAAAAAAUGACCAAAGCGUAGGCAGAUCCCAGAAUACAAAUAAUAGUUCAAUUAUGGAAUUACCGAAAUUGUAUGAAUGGGUUUAACAGUAAAUCUAAAAACCCGUAACAAGAAAGAACAAAUAAAAAUAGGGAAAUUACAAUAAACACCAAUAAUAAAUACCCAUCUUCGAAAUCAAGCUAACUAUAUUAGACCUAAAACCUUUGAAUUCAAACAACCGAGAAGCAGAUUGGCUUUAUAUGAAAGCAAAAUUGGAGGAAGAAAUAGGUUGAAUCAAGGCUGCUGCUGUGCGUCCAUAUAGCCCGCGUCCACAAGCACCUUCUCCCUCUUAGCCAAUUCAAUAUCCUCAUCAACCAUCAUCUUCACCAACUGCUCAAAAUCCACCUUAGGCUUCCAACCAAGCACCUUCCUUGCUUUGCUAGAAUCACCCUUAAGGUUAUCAACCUCAGCAGGUCUAAAGUACCUCUUAUCAAUCACCACAUGAUCUCUCCAAUUCAACCCCACAGACCCAAAUGCCACCUCCAAGAACUCCUCCACCGUGUGUGACUCCUCCGUCGCCACCACGUAAUCGUCCGGCUUCUCCUGCUGCAGCAUCAUCCACAUCGCUUCCACAUAAUCCCCCGCGAAACCCCAAUCUCUCGAAGCCUGCAAAUUCCCCAUGAACAGUUUGCUCUGCAACCCAAUCUUGAUCCUCCCCACGGCUCGUGUAAUCUUCCGCGUCACGAAAUUCUCACCCCGCCGUGGGGAUUCGUGAUUGAACAGAAUCCCAUUGCAGGCGAAGAGCCCGUAGGCUUCUCGGUAGUUCACGGUGUACCAAUGAGCGGCACAUUUAGAGGCCGCGUAAGGGGAUCGGGGGUGAAAUGGAGAGGUUUCCGAUUGGGGAGGCGAAGUGGAUCCGAACAUCUCCGAGGAUCCGGCUUGGUAGUACCGAAUGUGAGAUCGGCCGGUGGCCAUGAUGUGGGAUCGGACGGCUUCGAGGAGGCGGAGGGCGCCCGUGGCCACCACAUCGGCGGUGUAAUCCGGGAUCUCGAAGGAAACGGCGACGUGGGACUGGGCAGCAAGGUUGUAGACCUCGUCGGGGGCGAUGGUGUCGAUCCAGCGGCGUAGGGAGGAGGCGUCGGAGAGGUCGGCGUAGUGGAGCUUCAUUCGAGCUUUAUGGGAGUUGUGAGGAUCGAUGUAGAUGUGAUUGAGGCGUUGGGUAUUGAAAUUGGAAGAUCGUCGGAUCAGACCGUGGACUUCGUACCCCUUGUUCAGGAGAAACUCCGUUAGAUACGACCCAUCCUGCCCCGUUAUGCCGGUGAUCAGAGCUAUCUUCCGCUUCGGUGGUUCUAGGGCUUCGCCGCCGUUGAUUGCCGCGGCAGAUCCGGACCCAGCCGUCUCUUUUUCGGACGCCAUUGCUUUGAGUCGUCGUCUGUGUCGAGGCUUAGAAAAAAACGGGAGAGAGAGAAAAUGAGACUAAAAUUGAAUUUGGUCUGUUUAAUCGGUGAGGGUGUUGUUGAAAUAUAAAGAGCGCUUGUGAUGAGAAAGUUUCUGCAUGCUACACGUCGGCCUGUCUCUGAUGUCUGAGGUGGUCAAUAGCAGUUCGCCAAAUCAGGGAUUUAAGGUCAAAAAUGUAAUUUGGGUGGACAAAAGCAUGUGCAGAGUGGUGGCCGCAAACAGCUGUGCUUCUUAAAUGACCAAUCCACCCUCUCGGGCUUUGGUGCGGUGGGAUGUGAUUGGGGGAACCAGGGAGGGGCGACGCCUUUUGUCAGCAUUAUAUUUCAACCCCCCUCUAUACCCUCCCUUCGUGGUUGCACGGUUUCCUUGCAACACCAUUUUAGCCUGCCAGCGUGUACUUUUUUCUUUUUUUAAUUAUCUAAGCACCGCGGUCAUGUGAAUAGAAAGAGUAAAUAAAUAAAUAAAAUAAAAAAUUAACACCUAGAAGGUAAAAAAAAUGCAUUCCCAUGUUUAAUAAUAAUAUUAUUGUUAAGUUGUAAAUUUUUCACUUUAAAUUUAUAAAAAAAAAAAAAAAAACAUCCUCAAGCCUUGAGAAAUUCUCUGUGCUUCUUCUUUGUAUUCCUACAGCUUUAUAAUUUACUUUUGCAAUAUAUUAUCAUCAUACUAAAACCAUUCAACCUUAUAAAUGAUUUUUUUAUCUUUUCAAAGGCAAUUUCUUCGAUAUUGAUUCAGGAUCAUAUAGAGUAAGAUUUGAAAAUUACCUCUAUUACUAUUUUUUUUUUUGUUUUUUUAACAUUUUCACCCUUUUUUUCCUCAAAAAAAAAAUAUUGUUUCCUCUCUUUCCUAAUUCAGUUCCUUAUCAUUUUUAAUAUUCAACUCUCUCCCUCCUUCAAGAGCUUUGACCCAAAAUAGUGCGUUUAAAAAAAAAAAUCCAAAAAAUAAAAUUGUUUUUAAAAUAAUGUCCGAUCUAAUGCGUCUGUGCCACAUAAGCUGCCAUGUCAUAAAACCGUAGUUGGUGACUACGGUUUUAUUUUUUUAAAGUGGUUAAAAACCGUAGUUACCAACCACGGUUUUAACUUUAAGUUUAAAGCCGUAGUUGGUUAGUUGGUGACUACGGCUUUGACUCUUUUAAAAUGGUCAAAGCCGUAGUCACCAACUGCUGUUUUAACUUUAUAUAUAUUUAUAUAUAACUUUAAUUUUUUUAAUAAAAAUAUUAUAUUAUUUUGAUUUUAAAUAUACUUAUUUCAUUAUUUUAAAAAUAAUAAUAUAUGAAAUUAUAUAAUUGAUAUUUUUAAUUUGAUAAAAAUAUAUUUUUAAAUUUUAUUAAAAUAAUAUACUCUAUAUUUAAUAUAAAUAUAUUUAGUUAAUUAUAUUUAAAUAUAAAUAAAAUAUAAUAAAUUAUGAAAGCCUAUUAAAAAACAAAUAAUAUAAAUUAUUAUAUUAAUUAAUAAUUUUUUAUAUACUAUAUGUAAGUGGUAUAUAAUGUCACAUGUAUAUAAGUUCAAUUAAGUUUAAAAUUUAUCAUAUUUUAAUUUAAGUUCAUAAUAUUAUAUCGAUAUGAUAAUAAUUUAUUUAUAUAUUUAAAUAAAUAUGCUAAAUUUUAAACUUAAAUUAAACUUUUAUAUAUAUAUAUAUAUAUCUGUGUGUGAUAUUAUAUACUACUUACAUAUAAUAUAUAAAAAAAUUAUUAAUUAAUAUAAUAAUUUAUAUUAUUUUUUUCUCCAAAUAGGCAUUUAUAAUUUAUUUAUUUUAAAUAAACAUAAUUUAUUAUAUUUUAUUUAUAUUUAAUUUUAAUUCAAUAAUUAUAUUUAUAUUAAAUAUAGUAUCAAUUGUUUUAAUAAAAUUUAUUUAUAUAUUUAAAUAAAAAUGUGAUAAAUUUUAAACUUAAAUUAAACUUAUAUAUAUAUAUAUAUGUUUUAAAGGUCCUUCCCAGAGAUGGAAAGGCUGCUGAUUCAUCUGUAAUAAUAAUAUAGUCCCACUGGACUAUCCAAGUAAGGCCAAAUUUGAUGAAGAAGAAUAGUAAAGGGGGAAAAGCUGAAAGUUCUCUGGGGAUAUCAAAAGAACUUCUGAAUAGCACAAAGCCAUCCAGAAUGGGCUUAGGAAGAAUCUUAAUAGUCGGACCAUAAUAAUUCCACCAACUGUAGAACCAAAAUGGGAAAGAGGAAAACUGAUUCUUAGAUGGAAAAUAGAACAUCCAUGAAUGAUGGAAGUCCCUAUUCUGGAUCAGAAAAGCAUUAAACCAUGCUCUCUGAUAAUCCCAAUAAUUAAAAAACCUUGGCUUUGAUGGUUCAGAAAAUUCCCUUGAAAGAUUAGGAUUUCCUCCCCAUUGCUUGACAGUAAGAAUCUUAUAGAUAUGGCAGGUGGAGAAUGCCAAACCCAUAUUGCUGAAUUUGUCUGCAUUAUGCUUAAUUUUAACAGAACCAGUUUCUGUAAGAACUGCUUCAUAAAACUCUCUUGUUCUUAAAAUAUUACUAGAGGGAUAAUGAAAAUUUUCUUGAAAAGCUUUUGCAGCACUUUCUCUGGGGUUUUCAGAGAAAAAUUCUCUUUCUAUAACCAAAAGAGGUUGAUUUAAAUCAUUUUACCAAUAUCUUGAUUUUGUUGAAAGAGGUGUGGGGUUGGCAGCCACCACAAUUUGCUUGUUUGAAAAAAAGGAGUUUGAUGUUAAUUCCUUUUGAGAGGGAUUAACCUUAAUGACUUGCUUGAAGGUCUGAGACCCUGAAAUGGCUGGAUACUAAGUGGCCUUGACUGGAUUAGUUGGAUCGGAAUGAUCAUAGUACAAGGUCAUCAUCUUAUUAGGCAUAGGUUUAGAAUGCCAAACCCAUAUUGCUGAAUUUGUCUGCAUUAUGCUUAAUUUUAACAGAACCAUGUAGGCGGUACAAGAACAUAAAAUAAAAUGAAAAACAAAACUUAAUUAUAUAUAUAUAUAUAUAUAUAUAUGUGUGUGUGUGUGUGAGGUAUUAUAUACCACUUAUAUAUAAUAUAUAAAAAAUUAUUAAUUAAUAUAAUAAUUUAUAUUACUUUUUUAUUUUUCUAAAUAGGCAUUUAUAAUUUAUUUAUUUUAAAUAAAAAUAAUUUAUUAUAUUUUAUUUUAAUUAAUUAAUUAUAUUUAUAUUAAAUAUAGUGCCUAUUGUUUUAAUAAAAUUUAAAAAUAUAUUUUUAUAUCAAAUUAAAAAUAUCAAUUAUUUAAUUUUGUAUAUUAUUAUUUUUAAAAUAAUGAAAUAAGUAUAUUUAAAAUCAAAAUAAUAUAAUAUUUUUAUUAAAAAAUUAAAGUUAUAUAUAAAUAUAUAUAAAGUUAAAACCGCAGUUGGUGACUACGGCUUUGACCAUUUUACAAAAAAAAAUCAAAGUCGUAGUCACCAACUAUGGCUUUAAACUUAAAGUUAAAACCGUGGUUGGUAACUACGGUUUUUAACCACUUUAGAAAAAUAAAACCGUAAUUACCAACUACGGUUUUAUGACAUGACAACUUAUGUGGCACAGACGCAUUAGAUCGGACAUUAUUUUGAAAACAACUUUAUUUUUUGGAUUUUUUUUUUAAAACGCACUAUUUUGGGUCAAAGCUCCUCCUUCAAUAUGAUCUUUUCCUUUUUCAGUGAAGUUUAAACCUAAGUUUAUGUUCGUUCUCUUUUCAAUGAAAUUCAAAUAUUUCAACAACGAUCAGCAAAUGAAGAUCAUAAUCGAAUUCAUUUUAAAAAUUAUAUAUCAAAAUUCUCUCAUCUUUCUUUUUUAUUCAAGAUCUUUCAUAUUUUUUAUCGUUCUCUUUAUUUCUUUUUUUAUGGAUUUUUUUUGUAUUUGUUUUUUGUUAGGGUUUUUUAUAAUUAUGUUUUGUUAGAUUUUUAUUUUUUUAUUUAUUAACAAUUUCAUUUAAACCUCUACACUGUUUUUAUUGAGGUUUUUUGUGGUUAAUUUUUAUUGGAUUUUUUUACAAUUAUUUUUAGUUAGUGAUGAAUAAUAAGAUUUUCGAUUACCUUAUGAAAUGCCCAAGAUCCAAAUUGGUUGUUUCACUAGCAAAAUUUCCCGCCUCAAGUCAUUAAUGAAACUACGAAUACGAGAACCAUUUGUUUUUAAAAGGGCAAGAGUCUUGACCUUGUUUCACUAAGAAAAUUAAGAAUAACUUCAAGAGAUGGCCUUUUUGUUUCUUUAUAAGAAUUAUAUUCUUACUUUUAUAUUUUCCGGAGAGAGAAUAAAACAUAUUUCUUCUCUUUGUGGUUUUUAGGAAGAGAAAAGUCAAAAUAUCUCGUUUUUUAGGAGAGAAUUCUCAUCGAGAGAGUUUUCACUGAGAAAAAUAAAUAAGUAAAUAAAUAAACUAUUUAUUUAUUUAUUUUUAAUAGUGACAGUUUUUAAGUAGUUUUAAAACUCCUAGAAACUACUCCCCCAUUUCUUCCCAUUAAUUGGAUCAGGUCAAGUCAAUCCACUUGAACACCCAAACCAACUUCAACAGUUAGAGUUUUUCGUAUUUGAUGCUUGAGAAAUAGUAGUCUAGCAUCAAAAUUUCAUUCAUGGUACGGAUGAAUAUGAUUUCAUAAUUUUGGUUUUGAAAUUAAAUUAUAAUACUUUUUACAAAUAAAUAAAUAAAAUUAAGUAAAAAUCUCCAAUGUGUUUAUUUUGAAUUGUAAUUUCAUAUUUUGAUGCUUAAUACGAGAGCAUAACACAUUUCUAUUUAAUUAAACAAGGCAACACACCACAUAACAAAAAUAAUUAUUUUUAUUAGGAAUUGGUAGAUCAUUUUGCAUGGUGUGUAACUAACAUGGAGUGUAGGUUGCAAUGACUCGUGAUCCAACAUGGGCGACUCUGCUUGCUCCAGUAAAACCAAGCUUUCCAAUGGUGAGCCAUUAAUUGAUGGCUCCUAACAGUCUAGUUAGUGGUGGAAUUAACAAAGUAGGAAUGGAAUAAGAGGGGGUCCCUGGGUAAAUAGAUGGAAAAUAUUUAUAUUGUUAAGAUAAUCUUUCGUAUCUUUUAGAAUAUUCACUUAUUGAAUACCCUUAAUCAUUAAGUCAUGAAGGCCAUUUAUAAAUAGGUUCGACUAUGGUUGGCUUAGCUUAUGAUGGUUGAGCUGAUAACUUUGAUUAGUUUAGUAUUCUUUCCUCUACCUCUACCGUGCACAUGGAUGGUGGUGAUUUUCUUAAAGGAUAGUGGGAAAUCAUGUAUGUUUAAUCAAUUUGUUCAUGCCCAUAACGAGUUGGAGUCAAUCCCUUCAUAAAUAAGUCAAAGCAAGUCAUAGGUCAUACACCAUAGGGUGGAGGAUAGUGAGUGAAGGCCCAUUGCUUUAGCGGGUUUAGUUUGUACUUGGAUUGAAUCGUACUAAAUUGUCAUACUUAGAUAUAUGGAGCAAGGUGAGAAGAAGAAUAGCAAUAUGGUAUGAAAGAAUGUUUUCUAUUUACAUUCCCGUCUCUUAGAAAGAGCCACUAAACGAUCGAACCAGACAGGUGCAAGUAGCUUGACCACCUUACCCGUCAUUGAAACACAAGUUAGAGACGUAUCGACCUAUAUUCCCACUAAUAUGAUCCCCAUUACGGAUGGAUAAAUCUGUUCGGAAACAGAGUUCUUUUAUUGCUGAAUUAAACCUGCUAUUAACAUUGGCUUAUCUGUCAAUCGCGUCGAGUCUACCGCUUAGUUAAAAGCUAUGAAACAAGUUUGUGAUAGUUUAAAAUUGGAAUUAACACAAUAUCGCAAAGUGGUCGCCCUUACUCAAUUUGGAUCAGACCUUGAUGCUGCGACUCAGGCAUUACUCAAUAAAGGUGCAAGGCUUGCAGAAGUCUCGAAACAACCACAAUAUGCACUACUUCCAAUUGAAAAACAAAUUCUAGUCAUUUAUGCGGCUAUCAAUGGAUCCUGUGUAUAAUGGCCGAAAAGGAGGGAAGGCUUGAAGUAUAAUGACUUUUGAGCUCAUUCCCUUUGGUCUCUCCUAAAGAUCUAUGAUUUGGCGGUGAAAAGGAUAUAUAACUUGGAAGCAACAUAACCAUAACUCCCAAAAUGAAAUAGCGGCUAGUGAUAACUCCUCUUCUUUUCUUUUCUUUUUUCCUUUUUCCAUUUUUCCUUUUUAGAGAUGACUACAAAAUUUAAUAGUUGGUCUUGUAAACUUAAUUUGUGCUUUAUAAAAUCAUCAUUCUUAAUACGAAUAAAAAGUUUCACUAGUUUAUAUUGCAAAUAAAUUGGACUAAAAAUAAUAUUUUUGAUGUGUAAAUUGGACUAAAAAGAACGUUAAUCAGGGAAGCGGUGAAAGGAAGGGAAUAUAUGAUAUAUUAGACGGUAUCGGGAGGAGGGCAGGGCGGCCCACGAAAGCAAAAGGAAACCUGGGCGAAACGCAAAAGGGAGAUUUAGGGAGCAAAGCAAAAGAAAGAAUCAGAGGUGGAGUGAUCAGAUUUCACAAGAAAAGGGGAGCAGCCCCAAUAAAAUAUACUAAAUAUACUAAAUAUUCUCACCCUUUUGGUAUGGGUUCGCCAACGCAUCGACUAUCAGCUGUUAGGUGGUUGCGCGUAAGCAAAACAGGAAACAACACUGCACCAAAAUCAAAAUAAUCGAAAUUAGAAAAACUCCAAACAAAACAAAAGUGGCCUCUAGGGUUCCAUAUCAAGCAACAUCACAAUUCUCGUCUUCUUCUGUUCUUGUUCAAAAGCUCUGCACCACUGUGCAAGAUCUGGCUCGCAUUAUCGCAAGUGGAGUGAUCGAGGUUUCGGAAACUCGGUUGCAUUGUGGAAUCGGUCUUCGGUAUGAAGCUAUCGAAGAGUUCGAAGAAGGUUUCUUGGGCUCCCGAUGCUAAUCUGUGUCAGGUAUAGCCGCGGCAUCUCCAAUUGGAGUGUCUAGUUACCAUAUCAAAUCACAUUUGAAUGUUUAUUUUAUGUUCGUGGUUCUGAUUUCUUCGUUGGCAGGUGGUUCUCAGUUUUGAUGCUCUCUCUUUAGGGUUUCGAAAAUGUUUUUUUGUUAUAAGUCUGCACUUGAACGUGGUUCUUUUUUCCCUUUUUAGUGCUUCUAUAGCUAUUCUCUUCAUAUCUAUGGUUUUUCUAGCCGGUUGUUCUGUUUUUGAAGUUCCAUGGUCUACUUAUUUUAAGCUUCGUUUAUUGAUUCCCUGGUGCUUAUGUGUUUCUUUAGCUAACCAUUCUUUUGGUUGCUGAGGAAACCGGGAAAGAAAGUGGAAGAACACCCUGUCUUUGCCGAUCAGGAAUCUAGUUAGUGGAAUGAAGAUUCCUUUUUGUUUCUUUCAACUUGUGUUUUGUUUUGUGAAGUAUCGAAAAAUGAAAGAAUUUUCUAUUUGCACAUUUUUCCCGAGCGUAAGGUGGGGUUCGACCACUUCUGGGUGUGGAAUUUACAGAUGUUUUCUGUGUACUUUGGGGCGCUUUUGGAGUUUCUCUUUUUAAUACACGUUUUCCUUUUUACCUAUCAAAAAAUAAAAUAAAAUUUAUAGAUGUUUUCUAAUCUCUCCAAUGUCCGCCAAUUCAUUCCCUUAGGAAUUCCAUUUGUGGCUAAUAAUGGAAUUUCAAAAUUUUAAUGUGAAUCCUUUUCUUUUCACCCCAAUCCUCUCAUUCAAAACACAAUGUAAAAGAGAGGUAAGAGUCUUAUGCACUGUUUUUGUUUCUUGAAAUUGAUAAUUCAACCCAAGUAAAAUAGUAGUAUUGGGCUCUAAGUAAAUGAAGUAAUUUUAUUUUCUUGGAGUCUGAAUAUAAAAUAGAGUCUUAUCCCCAAUAUUGUAAAAUUUUAUCCACAAUUAUGAUUUUUUUCCCUAUACAUUUUUCUUAUAUGGAGUCUGAAUGUUUCACAGCAAGUCAAGGUUUUCAUUUUUAACAAAGUUGGAAAAUGGUGUUUUAAUUGAUGAUUUGUCAGUUAAGUCAUUCUUUUUUGCACCAAAAAAAAAAAAGAAAAAAAAAUUGUUGUCAUUUUUUAUGAAUUAAGAUGAGACGAUCUCCACUGAGAACGACCACAGAACAAUUCAUCGCUUAGAUUAUCAUUUUUAGUGCAAUUUUAUUAUUUACAUAGAAAUGAGAAUAGAAAUAUGAAUGCUUGAAAUUGAAAUUAAGAAAUCUCAGACAAAAUUCUUUGGGAGCCUGUGUGGGACAACUUCCUACAGUGGUGGUGCAACAGAAGUGCUUAAUCUGCUUGUGAUCAUGGAUCAAUGUCCAGGUGCUAUUUUUAACCACACUGAACACCCAGCAAGACAACUAAUUUUCCUUGAAAACCUAUGGUUGAUUAAGUAUAACAUUCAAUCAUUCAUCGCUUAUAGUUCCCUCAAGCCUUUUUUUGGAAAGGUUUCAACUCCCAACUACAUUUUUUUGUCUGAUUUCUAAACAUAUCCUAUCCUCCAGUCAAGGAAAAUUAUUAAAUGCUAGUGAAGAUUUAACUUCUAAGAAUCAAUAAUAAGUAUUUGUAUCAUGCAAGUCACCAAGAGACUUUAAGACUUAGGUUGCAUCUAUGCAAAAAUAAAUAAAUAAAAAUUAAAAAAACCUUCAGAAAAGAAGGAAAAUUCUAUAACUUAAAUGUAUUUUUUUCUCAAGCUAUUUUCAGAAUUUCCUUUUUCUACUUGUUGCAUUAUUUUGGAAAUUCAGACAGAGCCUAAAUAUACUUAGGAAUAUAAAAAACUUCAAUUAUUACAUACCUUGGACUCAUGAAAGGGGUUCUUAAAUAAGGGAUUAUGGUUCCCGAGAUGGACUUCUUGGAUAGUGUUGCAAACUUGUAAUAAGUUUCUUUCUCUCUAUUCAGAGAUUAUGAAAUACAGAUUGAUUUGUGGUAACUCUUGGAAAAUGAGAAGAUCAAUAAUGAACAAUUGCCUAUCAAUAUGGACAAAAAAACAAUAUGUAGUAAUUUCAACAAUAUGAUAGGUUAACAGCCUAUUUGGCAAUCCAUAGCAAUCCUUGUCUAUUAGGUGUAAAAUCGGUAUUUAGCCUAUCCAAAAAAAAUAAUAAUAAUCCUUGUUUAUUAGGCUCUUCGAUUAUGUGUCAUUUUAACCCAGGACUUUAGACAAUCUUUCAAUUCCAAAAUCUCAAUGAGGACAUUGCAUUACCUGCCAUAAGAUAUUAUCAAAUCAAGAACUUUAUCCUUUUUAUUAAAAGAAUAUGCAUUUAAUGAAGUAGAAUCACUCAUGUAGGGGAAUAGGUAGAAUAAUACUUUUUGAGGACCAUAUAAAUCUAAUAGUUGCUAUUUCUGGCUAGUAAUUUUGCCAAAUAUGAGAUGAGGAGUGUGUGGAAUACCCAUCUGAGCAAUAAAUGCAUAGUAUGAUCAAAAGGGACCCAAAUUUAUUUUAAAUUUUGCUAUUAUCUUGAAAUUUUGUUCCAUUUACUAUUUAAGUUUUGGUAUAAAUAUAUAGAAAAGAGUUUUUAAAAACAUUAUGUAUGGAUUUUAAAUCAUACAACUUUAUCAACCUAACCAACUUGAACAUAAACUAAACUCAACCCGAGUUUUAAAAAAAUGGGAUUGUGUUAGGUUUGGGUUGAGUAUCUCGGGUUAAAGUUCAGGUUGGGUUAGGCUGGGCUGGGGUUGAAUGUUUCUUAAUUUGGGUUUGUCUUGGGUUAGCUAUCAACCCAACCCAACCUGCCCAAGUUAUAGUCCUUAUGACUCAUUACAAUCCUAAUGGUUGGGAAAGGACCUCCGGACAUAGAUUCCAUUGAGUCAUAAGAAGAUUUAAUAGUAAACUUUCCAUCCUUGGCAUCCUUUAAACCAACUUAUUUCACAAUCCUUACAAAACCAUCAUCACUUGAGUUAGCUUAAGAAAGAACUCCACAAUUUGCAACUCCCAAGGCUUCCAACAUCAAGUGCCACCUACCUCCUCCCAAACAUUGGCUAUCUAAAUUGAUAAUGUGAAAUAAAUAUGGUAACUAUUCAUUUAACAUCACAAGUCAUGCCAAAACCGUACUCUCCUUCCAUCAUGCACUACAAGUUUGAUUGUAGUUUGAAACUCCUCCAACCCUCUCCUAAUUGCUUUCCNNNNNNNNNNNNNNNNNNNNNNNNNNNNNNNNNNNNNNNNNNNNNNNNNNNNNNNNNNNNNNNNNNNNNNNNNNNNNNNNNNNNNNNNNNNNNNNNNNNNACCCUCUCCUAAUUGCUUUCCAUAAGCCCGUUUUAUAACUUCCCUCCCGUCUUGAGCACAUCACCCACCUACCACUUCUCCAAACAUACCAAAGAUAACUUGUCUUUGCAACCUAUUCUUAUUUGUCCCAUAGUUUGAAAGCCACUUUCCAAUAAGAGGCUUUCGUGAGUAAAGACAUGUUUUUAUUAUCUAAGCCACACUUAUUUGUUUCAAAGUGAUUCUCUAAAGUACUUCCAUCCCACAAAAAGUUCAUGUUGAGUUUCUAGUCUCAAUUGCACCAUCCUUAAAAUAACAAAAAAGGAUAAGAGUUUGUAGGCGAGCUAGACAACAUACUCUUUAGAAGGUUAGUCUCCAAUCCUAAGAAAGAUACUGAUGUUUCCAAGAAGCCAACCUUUUGUAAAACUUCUCCUUCACCGCAUACCAAAUUGAGGAAGAUUUGGAAGGAGCACCCAAGAACAUGGUUCAAAGUUGUGGUGUUGGUUGCUCACUCUAUGAGUCUUGAGGUGGAUUUGUUUCUACAUCUCGAAUUGACAUCGACAAUAUGCUCAAUAUGCGAGUUAAAAAACUAAAAGUGUUCUAAAAAAAUAAUGAGAAUUUAAAAAAAAAAUUAUAAUAAAACAAACUCAACAAUUUAAUUAAAGAAAAAAAUUAUCUAUCACAUUUAAGAUUGAAUGAAAUGUUGUAGAAGCACUUGCUUGGAUUAGUUUAUGAUAGCAUUAAGGAUUGGAACUCUUAAAACAUUAUCAUACUCAUUUUUAUACUAAUACCGAUUUUGAUAAUUGGUAUAUCAAAACAUAUUGCAAUUUAGCAUGCUAAUAAGAAUUAUUUUAAAAAUAAAAAAUAAAAAAUGAAAAUAGUAAAAAGAGAUGUGAUUGAUAAAAUAAUUGUCUGAAAAUAAGUCGUUUUGAAUUUCUUAUUCCUAGUAAUGGAUUGAGGCAUUUUUCUUAAUUAAUUUAAGGAGUCUUUGAGAAAUGUUGAUAUUCUUUGUCCUUUUCCUCUCAUUUCAUGGGAUUGAAUUGUUGGUGUAGUGGCUCCUACUCAUCUCUCUAGUUGGUUGAGUCAAGGGAUUCAUAUCCAAGUCAAGAUUGAGUGAUUGUUGAGCUGCAUAAUUUAACUUGGGUCUCAAACUCAUUGUGGCUAUAGCCAAGAGGGAUACGACUUGAUCUAGUUGUGCCAAUGUCAACCAAUACUUUGAACCAUGCCUAGGGGGAGACCUAAAUAGGUAGAAAACGACUUACCUACACCACAUCUUAGCAACGAACCCAUUGUUAAGUGGAAUGAUAUCAAACUCUAAAGACACAUCCAACCAAAGAAGGGUCCAUCUUAGAUAAAUCAGUUGUUCUUAGGACACCUCAUAGAAGAGUAUAAGAUUAUCAACAAAGGGUAAAUGAGAGAUCUCCACACCCUCUCUCCCCCCAACUUCUUACCCAUGGUUCAAAGUAUCAGCCAAGAUUGGUUUGUCUUGACCAAGUUGUAUUCACCUUGACUAUAGUUGUGACAAGUCCAAGACAUGACUCGAUAUUGUGUAGUUCAACAAUUAGUCAUUUUUAACUCAGAUAUGAAUCAUUUGACUCGGGCAACUUGUGGAACAAUUCAAAGUUACCACACCACAAAUCAGAUUAGAUGAAAAUAAAAGGAAAAACAAAUAGAUAAUCUUUGUCUUCCCCUCAUCGAUCAUGAAGAAAUGCCUCAAUACAUAAGUAGAACAAUAAAUUCAAACUGAUAUUUUUUUUUUCAAAAUUGUUAUCAAUCAUAUUUCCUUUUAGUGUUUGCUUUUUAUAUUUUCAAUAUAUAAAAUUUUUUCAUUAUUUUCUUAAUUUUUAUUUUUUUUAGAUUUUUUAACUAGCAUAAUCUUCCAAUAACAAUCCAAGAUGUUGAGACCAAUCUGCCUUGGGACCUAUUGAGUUAGUAAUCGAUAUUGCAACUUUGGAUCAUGUUCCCACAACAAGAGAUUGUAUAACUAGGCUACAUUAAUAAUACAUUUUUCAUGUAAAUCAUUUUAUAUAUCACAUGUAAGUGUAUCUUAUGUACAUGAAUACAUUAUAAUUGAUCCAUACAGUCUGUGCACAUUUUAUUAUUUUAAAUAGUUUAUAGGAAAAAUCAAAUAUGAUUUCUUUUAACCAAUUGCUCUACUGUUGUUUAAAAAGGCAUUUUGAUGUGAAACUAAAAUAGUAGUAACUCCCUUUUAUUUUCUUUUACAUUAACUAUUAAAAAAAACCCUCUUCUGGUGGUGCUCAAAAUCUUAGGUUGCUUUCUAUCCUCUAUUUAAUCUUCUUCUUCAUUUUUUUUUUUAAUAAUUUAAAAAGAAUGACAAAGAGCUAAGGAAGAGAGAACAAUCCUGCAUUGGAACAUUUCACACAUGUUGACAGUCAAUGUGGAAAAUUGGAGUUCAAGCGUAACUAAAGUUGCAGCAGAUAUUGGGUGGUGGUAGUUGAAUGAAACUUGUGGUUUUCAAAUGGUUUGAAUAUUGAGCAAUGAUGAUGAACAGUGAAUUGAGGUGUUUGUAUCUUUUCUUCUUAGUUUUAUGUUUCUCUUUGCUUUUCCUAUGUUGGAGGUGUUAGCAGGGGUGGGGGAGGGGAUGACGAACUUGAAGUUAAAACUUUGAACAUAACAUGUGGACACAUAUAUUCCCAUGGUCCACAUAAGUAAAUACUUGUAUACAAUUCUUUUAUCUUUCUUUAUUGGUUUGGGUAUGUUAAUUGGAGAGUAGUUGAAGUUUUGAACUUCAGUAUGAUAUUAUUUAUUAGCAUACUAGUAGGUCCUUUGAAACUUAAAAUUAUGGUUAAAAGUUGAAAAAAAUUAUCUUGUAAAUCUUAUGAUGAAUCUAUGUAUUAAAAUGUCAAUUUGUUGAGUUGAUUUCUUCAACACUAGUUUUUAACAUUUUGAUGUGCAUGGCAUUGAUGAAUGCUAUAUUUGCGUGUUUUUCCGGUGAUAUAUCUGUCUUGAAAUUGGUUUUAACAUUUCCCUAUUAUUCAUUCUUGAAAAUAUGGGUUUCAUAUAUGAUAGAGAUUUUUGAUCUGUCUAUUUCCAAAAUGUGAAAAACUUCCAUUAAACGAUAUGAUAUGCAUGAUACAAAAAGGGGAAAAUGGUAUAUACAUAGAAAUGCCAGUGUGACAGACAAUGUAAGUACAGCGUCAAAAUUACUACAUUGGCAUGAUAUAUCUAAGGAAAUCAUAGUAAUUGUUCUCUCUCUAUUUGCCUUUGCCUUUUGGGUCCCUUUGUAUUCUUUCCGUGUGCUUUGGUGCUCUUUUUGGCUAAGUGCUGAUAAUAAAAUCUUGUUUUUGCUUUCCUAUCUGUACAUAUAUAAGCAAAUCAUAGAAAAUGGAAGAUUUAAAUAUUAGGUAACCCUUUUCUCUGUGAUACUUAAAAUCAGUUUGCUUUCUCAGUCAACUGAAAUGGCAAUAUCAACUAAUAUUACAUUAUUACUUAAAUGAUAUAUCAGUAAAAAUAAUGGGUAGAGUUGGUAUUUAUUUGUGAAAUUGCAAUCUGAAGCUAUUUGCACUCGAAGAGUGUGUAAUAUGUGUCUUUCCUCUUGUUAUUUUCUGGUUCUGUUUAGCGUAUGUGCUAAACUGAGAACAAUAUAUGCCAUCAUGAAUGGUUGGUCAGUGUCUUGUUAUAUUAAGUUCGAAAUUGCAAAAUUGCUGUUUGUUUUGUCUAAAAAUGCAAUCUUUGCAGUACCUGAGAAUUGCAGUUCUCUUCGUGUAGAUAGAGAGAUACUUAAUCUUGUGCUGUUGGAGUUAAAUUUUUUUUUUGGUUAUAAUAAUUUAUGGAUUGUUUGAUGGCCAUCAGUAUGAUUUGCAUUGAUCUAGCCUAACCAAAAAAAAAAAUUGAUUUGCAUUGAUCUAAUCGGUUCUUUUAUAACGAUGUUAACUCACUGACAACUUAAUCUCAGCAUGGUUGUUAAUUUUAAUAUUAUGGUUAUUUAUUAUUUUUUUCAUCACCUUUUCCACAAUAUGUUGGGGAGAAAGGAAUAGGAAUUCAGCAAUAUGGUCGCUACACAUCCCAAUUGACUGUUAUCUUGCUGGGCCAUUUUCUGGUGGAGUCACAACAGUCACUAUUUUCUUUGGCGUGUGUGCAUUGGGAUGCAAAUGGCAUCUUAGAUGGAUGCCAUUUGGUGGCCAUCAGAGAUGAAGUUGGUUGGAAAUUCUAUUUCCCUUUGUCUAGGUUUGUAUGUUACGCUUUUGCUACCAUUUUAAUGUGGUAGUUGCUCCUUCAGCCAGGGAGCCUGUGAAGUCUACCAUCUAGGUUUCUGAUAAAUCAGUUACUAAUUUGAUGAAUGAUAGCCUGGUGUAAUAAACCAAUUCCUGUUUUCAAACAGGCAAAACUGUUUCGAUCAAAGGAUUGUCCUUCACAAGUUUGCUUGAAAGCUCGUGAUGGUCUUCUAGCAAAGAAAUCAUGGAUAUUGCAUUCUGAUGGCCGGGACACCAAUGGCCUCCCUCAUGGAUUCAAAGACACUCGUGUGAACCAAUCGAAGAAGAAAGUUUCGCACAUCCCUAAGAUCAAAUGGAAAUGCCCACCCAAGGUAAGCUGAUGUUAGAUGUUAGACCUCAACUUGCAACCCCUUGUUGCAAAUUUUUCAUGCUUUUGGAGGGGGUAUCAUUACAAGUUUCUGCAUACAUCUGGCAUGGGCACUGAAUUUUGCUGAAUUGAAUUCUUAUAUUUUAACUGUUUUUUUUUCUUAACCAGUUUGUCUUGAGUUCCAAUUGGCUCGUUGCAUCUGGUGAAGAAAGCCAAGAGGCAGAGGCUCAAAAGCUGAGAGAAAAUCAUGUAGUUGAAGCAGUUUAUCCUCGCAUAUCUGCUAUACCUCUUAGGUAAAAUCUCCUAACCCCUGAAAAUCUGUAUAUUACUUCCUUUCUUCAUCCUUAAACUGAGGCUCAUGCAUCUUCCUAUAGCCCCUCUAUUUCAUUGGACAUAGAAGAAUGCCAUCAGGAUGAUUGUGACAUCCCUCUUGUCCCCAUCACAUCCAUGGAAGAUGAAGGAACAGUGGAUACAUUGUUUGAUUUGGCAGCACCAAUCAACUCUUCCAUGAUUUCAAAGCCACCAGCCUUGUCCCAAGAUUUAUUGGCAUCUGGAAACACCUCCCAGUGCAACAGGCCUGUUCUAGAGCCACCUGCCAUUGAAAAAACUGCACUUGGCUUGUCACCGGAUGUAGAAGCUGAUAUAAUUGCUGCAGCUACUGCUGCCAUUACCAUGGUCAUGAGAUGCAAGGAGCAGGGAAGCUUGAUUGACACAGAUUUGCUCAUUAAAAUCCUUACCAACCCAAAAAUGACUGAGAAAUUGAUUAAUGAUUGUCGAGAACCUGGAGGUACCAGUACUAUACCCUUUUCUGAGUCAAAACCGGUAACUCAGUUGGUUACCGUAUCCUGUUCAGAACCUGCUAUGGUAUUGGAGCCAAGGCCAGCCAAUGAAAAUAUGUGUUAUCAACCAAAGAGGGUGCGGCCUGCUCUAGAUUCAAGGUCUCCCCAAGAAGAUACUUUUCCAGUCUCUAGGUCAAAGCAAGUUGCUCAUCGAGUUCCCUUACCUCACACAAAUGGGAAUAUGUGUUCUCUACCAGGCGACAAGAGACCUGCUCUAAAUUCAAGCCCUCUCCAGCCAGAUAACUUUCCAAUCUCGUGUUCAAAGCCUGUCACCCUUCCAAAGCCAGAAAGUGGAAACAUUUAUCCUCUGCCCAAUGGGAUGCUACCAGACUCAAAUUCAAGGCUUUCCAUACCCAAUACUGUUACAGUUUCUUUGUCCCCAGCUCCCUUACCCAGCAAAGGACCUAAUAUGGUUUUGUUGUCUCAGCCAGCAAAAGUUAACUUAUGUUCCAUUCCAAAUGAUGUGCAACCUGCCAUAAAUUUGAGACCUCCCCAAGCAGAUGCUGUCCAAUUCUCUAGGUCAAAGCCAGCAAAUGGAAACAUGUAUUCUCUUGUAGAUGAGGUGCUAGCUGCUGCCUCAAAUUCCAGGCCUCCCCAGCUAGAUACUGUUCCCGUCUCUAGUUCAAAGCCUGUCAGUCUUUCGGUUCCCGUUUUACCCAGCAUAGAAGUUGAUAUGGUUGCCACACAGAAGGCAGCAAAUGAAAACUUCUACCCUUUAUGGAGUGGGUCGGGAUCUACUGUAAGCACAAGGUAUUCUCGAGAGCCUAUGGUUCCAUUAUCUGGGUUUAAUCCUGCACCUCUCUUGGUUCGCUCUUCUGUCCUAGAGCCUAGGGUUUUGUCACCAAGACCAACAAAUGGAAACUUGCACAACAUACUGAAAGGAGUACAACCAACUUUAAACACAACACCAACUUUACCAGACAUCUUGCCAACAUCCUCUUUCAAAGCUAUAAAAUCUCAUGUGAAGGACGUCAACUACUAUAAGAGCCUCGUUAAGCAACACGGAGGAGAAAAGCAAGGAACUCAGGAUCAAAUCAUCCCACAGUAUGCUAACCAUGAAAAUUACCUUCAAGGCAUGGAACUGAUACAGAACUUCAAACCAACAGAAUUGAAACCGAAGUCUCAGAAGUCUUGCAUCUUCUAUAACAGCCCAACAGGAUGUCGAAAUGGAACCAAUUGCCCUUACCAGCAUGACACGUUCUCUCAAUUGCGUUGUGGCAGCAUGCUGGAAGAUAAAAGGGCAAAGAGAAUGAAACUAGAUGGGAAAAUUACAGGCAGAAAAUAAUCGAGGCGGUAACUGGUGGUAUGGUUUUUCAACUUAUGUAGGUUCAUAUUUCCAUAAUCCCCCACAUAAAACUACACGGUUGCACUUCAUCAUAAUCACAAGUGCACCACCCACUCGUUACCUUAUCUUCCCAUUCAUAGUGCAUAGAACACCUCCUUGAGAGGUUAAAAUAAAAUGUCUAAGAGGAACUUUUACUGACAGUCUUACAUUUACUUUCUAAGACUUGAAAAUCCUAGUUUAGAAAUUUUCACACUUUUUUUAAUCAUAUGAUGCUGAUCAUUUCGUGUGCACGGACACUAUCGCUGCUGAUAUUUUUGCAUUUAUGAACCAUGGGGCCAUUGUUAAAGGGGGGAAUUUCAAUUAAAUAGCAUGCAUGACCAUAUAGCAGCAAUACCAGAUUAUAUGAGAACUGCUAAAACUUGGGAAAAUGAAAGAUGGAACCGAUUGGAGCAAAUAUGACAAAAUUGAUUGAUAUCCAAUACACCUGGUGAUUAAAUAAUCAUCAUAUGUUCAUGAUAAAAAAAAGUGAAGUUGAAUGUAGUAAUAGAAAAAUCAUGAUCAUUAUAGAUGUGAAAAACUACAGAAGGGGUUCCAGUGCAACAUAGAAGAACAAUAAUGCUCAUAUCUAUGCUGCAGCAUCCAAUCACUCUCAUAGUUUCUGCCACACCAUACAUGGAAUCCUGUAGGUGAAACAAAUUGAGAGAUGUAUAUCAAACCAUGCUUUUAUUCAGUUAAUACAAAUCUCAUCAAUCCACAACCUGGUAAAAAUUUUAGAUGUUCCCAAGGAAUGGGUCAAAACAGUUCAGAAUUGGGUAUUAUAAGUUCUAACACUCCACACACAUCAAUGGCCUCGUGCCCUGUAAUAAGAUGGUCAUAUUGUUGCCCAUAUUGGAAGAGCAACAACCAUAUUUCAGAAGACUCCUUGUUUCAGUCUAACCAAGAGCUUCUUCUGCGAUGAUCAACCAGUCCUCAUUAUGAUGUGAACCCCACUAUCAGUUUCCACGAUGUCGCUAAUCUCCCCAACUUUAAGAGCAUAUGUUGCUUCUUCAAAAGGCUUUUGCAUCUGACCCCGACCAAAUGGCCCUGUAACAACAUUUACAAAGUACUUUUGUUUAAGACCUGCAUUUAUCAGGAUAAGACCUGAGAUCAAUCAAAGCCAAAUGAAACAUAAUGCCAAAAUGGGGCACCGCUCACAUGUACAUCCCGUACUCUUUUUGUGCAAAAACAAAAAUAAUAUAUUGGAAAGACAUUUAUAUGCACAGGGGGUAGAAAUCUCAUUUACACGUGCAUCAUAAGGAAUCAAAGGGCUCAACAAGGUAACAAGUCCCAUAGUGAACACAAACUAAAAGAUCAUGUAUAAGGCCAGAUCUAAACAACCCACAAAUACUAGAAGGGAAGAAACAUUCAAAUUUUCUUGUUCAUAAUAGCUUCAAACUUCAUACCAAACUAAACUCUCUAAGGCAGGCCUGGAAAUGCAUGCAGACGCACACAAGUACAUAGCACAUUCAGUAGAGUGCACUGGCAUGAGCCUCAAACCGUCUACGCUUUAAAGGUGUUUCAGUAUGUAACCAGGGCCACUGUAAAGCUCUCAGAUGAUUUGCAGCAAAAAAACUGGGUCCAGAAGCUGUAGCAAAUGCAAAAGUACAAAUUUGGGCAUUUUCAAUAAAUUCUACAGGUUUAUUAAGCAUUAGUUUUGACUGAAGAAUGUCUUAGCAUGAAACAGACUCCUCUGGAUUAUCACUAAACCUAAAUUAUAAUAUUUAUGAUACUCAUCUGUACAGAUCCAGAGCCUGAACCUGUAUCAUGAAUAUUGGAAAAAGAGCAAAGACAACAAUUAUUAUUAUUUUUGGUGGUUUUAUUAAUAAAAACAGAAAUUCCCUUCAUUCAAAAUUAAGUGAUGGAUGGAAGGAUGAGAGCCAAAAACCUAUGUAUCAGUUCUACCAGGAAACCAAAACAAGAGACAGCAAGAUUACAUGAGAAUUUCUUGGAUGCUAGAGGGAGCUAUGGGACUAAACCAUAUAGAAAUAUUGAUUUACCAACGAUUUUCAUGCAAGAUGGUAUUCCAACACAUGGGACCCAAAAGUUACAAAAUAAGGAUGGUAAUCGUGCAUGCUCAGGAUGGGGCACCCUGUUCUGAUCCCAUCCUCAUGGACAAAACCCCUGCAAAACUUAUCCCAGUUCCAUUCCUUGUCCUGAUCCCACCUUGCAAGAUCAGUAAAGAAAACUUGUUUGGCUGAGUCAGGGGCACCACUGGACUUCAAAUAUAGCAUAUAAGCAUAUAGGGUUUGCAACAUUCUUUACUGAUAAAGAUCUGAUGAGAUCAACUGGUGGUACAAGUACCUACAGAAGAGGGAGCAGACCACAAAAAAUUUCUCCUAUAAAAUAUAAAAUGGAAUUAUUAAAAACAAUGUUGCUCGAGAUAGUGGAAAGUCUUGGAGCUGAGGUUUAGUCUUCGUGAGUAUGAGAAACAAUGUGCCACUUGAAAAACAAGUGACACACCAACUUUUUCACCAGGCAUAAGGAAUCUUAACUCCAAAACCGAACAUAUCCAAAUUGCUAGUUAACAUUGUAGCUAAUCAUUAUAAUCUCAUUGAGUCCACAGCAUAAGAAGAGCAUGAAUUUUGUUGUAAUCAUUGAGAAGCCUCUUUAUCUCCUAUAUCACUUAAGAUGAACAAGCUAUUAAAACCAAGCCAACAUGAACAAUGGAAAAGAACUUCAUCCUAACACACAAGAUGGCAAAACUUGAAAGUACUGAGAAUUCAGAUCUAUGAAAUCCACAAUUUUAGAUUGUCAUAACUAAGAGACAAGUUUUUUACUACUUUCUUUUAUCUGAAAACAAGAAUAAAUGUGAAAAAACAAAUCUCAACUGCGAAAAACCCUAAUUCACUCUGAGGAGACCAACUCAUCAGAGGCAGACUACAACACAUUGCAACCGCAGAGCAAUCUGAUAUUCUUUGAAUCCAAUUCAAUAACAAGAAAGUCAAUGAGGGGGAAAAGAAGAUAAGAAUAAGGAACCAGAUGCAACGAUUAUGGUGUUCAAAAUCACUGAAAAAGAGGCAGAAAAACUGGGGAAAACCUAAGAAAGGUAAGCACACAAGCUUCUGAAAUCAGAGUGUCAAAAGAUUUGGAGAUGUCUUGAGUUCAGCAACAGAAACCCUAAUCUCACUUUCGUAACACCUAACAGAUCAGAAAAACAUUCAUCACAAUCCAAAAUUAACAGUAAUAUCCCACGCUAACCGUCCUUCCCUUACUCAAACAAAAGACCACGGUUAUACACAGAAAGCAUUCAUCGGCUGAGGCCAUAGUUGAAGUAAUUUCCACAGUCGAGACGAAAGGAUUAAAAAUUUUGAACCUGAGAUUUCUCACUCUUCGAGACAAAAUAAAUAUUAUCACUCUACUUUUUGGCAGUUAGUGUAAUGUUUUUUAUUUUUGGAAAGCAACACAAAACAACACAAAGCACAAAGUUAGUUUUCCUGAGUUUUCUCAGCAUCCAAAGAGAAGGCAGGAGUGAAAACCCUAAUCCAAAAAAACCAAUCAAAACAGAAGAAGAUAAAGAGAGUAGAGCUAUAAAAACCGACCGAGAUCGCCGCCGCGCUUGGCAGAGCUGCAAUCGGAGAUUUGAGAAGCGACGUCGGAGAACUUAGAUUUGCCAGAAAUGAUGUCGUCGCGAAUGGCCUUAAUCUGAGUGACGGCACUUUCUUUGGUGGUGGCCUUUAUGACUCGACCUUCAGGAUCUCUCCAAGACGCCUUCCUUCUGGAAUCUUGGUGCUUGAUCAAGAUGUGCGAAGCCCUCACCUGAUUCGACGACAUUUUCCCCUUCUUUUUGUUGUGCUCCGCUCGAUCUGCAGAUGAGAUCGAAGUUUUCUUCCUCUUUCGAUCCGGCUCUAUCUUCGCUACUCUCUUUGUCUCCCUCUCUCUUCUCGAUCUCUCGAUCUAAAUGCGACCUGCGACUGGAAAACCUCCCUGUGAAUAUAAAGGCGUCCGGGGCUGUGAUGCUGUGACCCGCAAAACGACAGCGUUUAGCCUAUCCACUGUGGUAAUGAUGUGGCUUUCUCUGAUUGUAAGAUAGCCAGCCCACCCAUAUGAAUUAGUGUUGGUUUAAAUCCUAAUAAUUAAAAGAUAUACAUACAGUAAAUGAUGAUAGAUUAAAAGAGGUUACUGCUGCCUUUUUUAGAAAAUAAUAAUUAAAUUAUUUCUUCUUAUAAAAAUGACAUUUGCUGAUUAUUUAAUCCCUUUUUGCUUUCUUUUUUUGUUUUCAAAGAAAAUUAAAAUUUAUUUUAAAUUAUUUUCUGAUAUUUUAUUUUAUUUUUAAUCAAAAUUAAAGAUUCAAAAAACAUAUUUUUUAUCAAGAAAAAUUAAAAUUUUAUUGUGAAAACAAACCAAAGGAAAUUUUGCUUUAUAUUGGAAAAAAGGGCCUCAGAUGCCGGCCUAGUAGGAGCCCAUCGGCCCAAAACAUUGUUGGGUUGGAGAAGAAUGAGCUUAGGCUUUAAGCUAGCCCCAUCAUAUGUGUUACCCCAAUCUUCUACCGUUCAUGGCAUGGGUCAUGGGUUUUUUUGUCUCUGAAGGCGCAACACCAGAAAGUAAAAAGGAAGAACAGAAAUGGCAGGCAGUAUAUUUGGAUCAAUGGUAAUGCAAAACUGAAAAAGUACAAGUUUCUUUUACCCAUGAAGAUGCGUUCGAUUUUCAGAUAUGAGAAAAAGUUUUUAAUACUAUAUAUGUAUAAGUUCUUUAUCAUGAGAGUCUUUUGAACUCAUAUAAGAUGAAUAUAAAACAUAUUAUUGGAACUUAUCAAUCCCUAAUAAAAGAUUUUUGCAGUGUCGAUGACUAUUGUCAGUUAAUUAUACUUAGUUUGGUAAAGAGAAGUCUAGUUCAUACUUGUAUUUGGUGCAUGACCCUUGAAGAUUUGAGGCAAGUCUUUUGCUACUAGAGACCGAUCACCAUGAUUUGGUCCAAGUGUUGUUGGGUUGAGAAGCAAAUGGUGAAAGAAUUGAAGAUAAUUUUUUUUUUCUAUUCUAUCUUUUCUUUUCUUAAAUCCUAGGCCUACUUUCAUAAUUUUUCUCCAUUAGGACAUGAUUGGUGGGAGGGUGAGUCUACUAGGAACCCUAAAUUCCUUCUUUCCUAUACCUCAAAUCAUUAGGGUGCAUCAAAACUUAUUCUAAACUUCUUUAGGUCUAAGCACAACUAUUAACUUGGUUUCAAAAACCAAUAAAGAUACCGUAGAUCAAGAGAAAAUGUCAUACCUAUGAUUUAGAUGUUCUCGAAUUGAUUCUUGUCAGUAUAGAAAGCUCCAAAGCGGCAACAAAUCUCGUAGACGUCAUGAUCUUCUACCUGAUGACUCCUCCUUGAGUUUAAAUACUAAGAUAGUAGAGAACUUAGACUAGAGGCUAGGGUUUUCUCUCUGGAUUGCACAAAGAGAAUGACAAAAGUUUGAAUUAGAAAUCUUAACUCCUAGGGGAGGUAUUUCUAUGCUUCCUACCAGGCUUAAGUGAUUUGAGACCACCAUGAACUUAGGUCACUUAAUUUAAUAGAAAAAUGUUGUUAAUUUAUUAAUUAACUAUAUAGGGCUUCAAUUAAUCAAUCAGACCAAUCCGAAGAUACCUCUUGCUUACUUUUAUGCGAUCUUGUAUAAUUACCAAAAUGUACUUAUGCACAUAAGUGAACUAAAAACUCAUCCAACGCUCAUAAAUCGUGCGAUCAAGAAAUAUGAACUUGAAUUAGGACCAGUAGGACCCAUAUGACAGUACUGACUCCCUUAAAAUCCGAUUUUGAAGUUGAUACAACAUUCCACUACAGAGAGCCAAUUGUAUUAUAUAAUAACAAGACAUCAAGUGCUCAAAUCCGUAACCUACUAUCCGUUGUAUUUAGUCUCCCAAUGAAUUGAUGUUCAUAAUCUAACAAGGUGAAAGUUAUCAACUUUUCAAAACUACCUCUACAAUCAUUAAGUUAUAAAUCUUUUUAUUAUGUGAUCAAAUGACAUACUCUAAUAUAAAUAACAUAUGUCAAAUUCCACCAAAUGAAUUAUUAUAGGCUCACAUAUUUCAUGAUCACAUAUCCCCAGGAUCACCCAAGAGGAUAUAUUGUCUCAAAGUCCAUGAGAUAUCAUGGUGUCUCUAUUAAGAAUAUUUGUUACUACCGGUUUUCAUCAACAAUGACUCAAUCAUUUGGGAAUAUAUAAUUAGUUUACGAUAUCAUUCAUAGGUCAAAGUCACUGCUAAUUUUUGCACAAGUUUAAUAUUCUCUCAAGGUUGAGAGACAAUAUAGUAUAACAACUUAGUCAAGUUAUGCCUAUUUAAUAGUCUUUUAUCACGACUCAUUGUGUGUCUUGUUAAAUGUGUAACCAUACACACUAAUACACUCACUAUAGGAACCUCAUCCUAAUGGCCAACACCAACCAUCCUUCCAAUUACUGAGUGGUUCACUAUAGUUUCAAAUAGAUUGCCUAAGUCUAUGAAUUGAUUACUAACAAAUCAUCUACUUGCAAGGACCCAUGAUUUGAAUUUUUCGUGGAAUUUCUAAUGUACCGAGGUCAUAUACAAUGCAAUAAUUGCUAGGUCAAAAUGCUCAUAGAGAAUAAUGCAUGGAAUAAGGAUAGAUAAAAGUGAACCUAGAAUAUCAUUGAAUGAAUAACGAAUUCCAUGUCUAUUACCUCAUGUCAUGCUUUUAAAAGCUUUUAUCCUAAUAGAGUCAACUUUUCUUACAGGGAUUGGCGAGUCAGGAAUUCAAAACUUGGGACCUUCACCAAACUUGUCAAUGGUCGUCUUGACUCAUGUUAGGCUAUACAUGUUAAGUUUAGAGACAGGUACUGCCUUGAGAUUUAUUCCUUGUAUGCAUUCACAAAUCAUUCUUGAUUUAUGUGCUUUUCUGGGAGCAAUGAGAGUUCAGGAGAUUGGUGUUUACCUUCCUAAACCUCUCACGAGCAAGUCUCUUUGAUUAAGAGCUUUGGAGUCAGGUGCUUUUAAAGCAUCCAUUGAAGCACUACUCUACCUUAUUGCCCUUUGUUCAAGGAACAUGAAUGUAGUUGUUAACUUGAACAACAUGGGUCACUGGCUUUUGAUGGGUUUGAGUGCAAUGAGGCAAAAAACACCUUGUUUAUAAAAAUUAUUCAUGUUGGGGACAAGUUGACAUCUUAGUACAAUUGGUACCCGAUAUGCUUUGGGUUGGUACCUUGGUACACCCGGUACCCAGUACCCGAUACAUGAUACCUCUCAUUUGGGAAAAAGCAUGGCCAAGUUGUUAUAUAAGAGCGCUUAAAUCAUGUUUGUCUACAAAUGGAUAAAGGACAUUAUAUGGCUCUAUUUCCCAUCAUCAUCUUUUCUUUCUAAUUAACUCAAACCAUGCUACUAUCAUCUUAAAAUUAAAUCAAAAGCAUAUGAUUGAAGGAAAUUUUUUAGUUUUGAUGCAAUGUGGCUAAAAAAUUAACAAUUUUAAGGAUAUGGUCUUAAACCUUGAAAAUGUCAUUAUAAUGGAUCCUUUGGCUACUAAUAUUUGAAAAAUAAUAAUUGAUAAUGUCAAGUUUAUAGCUAUAAAUUGGAAUAGAGUUGUCUUUAGUAAUAUUUUUAAGAAUAUUUAAAAUUUCUAUUAAGAGCUAAAUUUGCUGCAAGAUUUUACAGUUAGUCAUAAGAAUGAUAGUAGGGUAAUUCAACUAAACAUUGAGGAUGUUUAAAAAUAAAAAAUAAAAAUCCAAUAGGGUGAUGGAAAUACCAAAUUCUUCCUACUCUCAUAUCCAUCAUAUUUGCGGCAAAACCCUUUUUUAUUUUAUUUUUUUUGUGGAUUCAACAAGAGAUUGAGAUCAAGUUUGAUGUGGAUUCCAAGUACGCUCUCAAAGAAGAAAGUGUGUAGCCGGAGUUUGAAGGUUUUAGGCAAAUGGUUCAAGUGGGGAUUAAAGGAUUGGGUUAGGUAAAUCCUUAUAUUCAAUUAAUUUUCUUCAUAAUGGAUGUUUUGAUCUCUUAAAGCCCAUGGUUUUUUUAAUUUUUUUUUUUUAUCUCUUUGAAGGUUUUCCACAUUAAAAUAUUGGUGUUAUUGUCUCUUUAUUCUAUCUUAUCUUUUGAUUGGAUUUUUUCAUUAGCUUAUAAUAUUUCCAUUGCGUUAAUUGAUAUAUAAGUUGAAAUUAGAUUAUUGAAACUUUAAAAGAAUAAGGUAUAUGUCAAUUUUGAUGUGGAUGUCAAAACACAUGUGAAUACGUGAUUUUGAGUUGAUUCAAUGUCUUAUAUAUCAUGGUUGGAGAGUGUUGAUAUAUAUGCAUAUGAUUUGCUCGACUAACUUAGAGUGUUGAUGCAUCCAUUAUUACUUGUGAUUUGUUUACUUGUUAGUAAGAUUGAAAAAGAAAAUCAAAACAAUUGAAAAAUCAAGGGACUUUAGCAUUCAUGAGAUAUCAUCUCAAAGUAUUUUAAUAACGACUAUUCAUCUCCCACUCUAGGUGUUAUCCGUAGAUGAAAUUCAUCUUCAUAUUCAUCAAUUAUUAAUGAGAAUGCAAUAUUAUAUUUUCUCAAUCUUCUUUUCUCUCUAUUCUAAUUUCCACUCCUUUCAUAUUCUAUUAUUGAAAAGGCAACUUUUAUGUUUAAAUAUUACAUUUAUAAAGAUGACAUGAAAAAAUAGGUUAUUUGUACAAUAAUAAAGUUAAAAAGAAAAAUUGCAAUAUUAUUUGAUGAAUUCCUUAAAAUUAAAUUUUGAUACAUUUAAAAAUUACAAUAUUAUUAUAUGAAUUCCUUCUAAUAAAAACAGGAUAAAAUUAACUUUUCAUACAUUUAAAAGAAAUACAAGAAAAUGUUCUAUCAAGGGAAUUAUUAAGGAUAAAAUAUGAAGACUAAUAGUGGCUAUUCUAGGCAAAUUUGUGAGAAUUAUCUUAUCAUAUUUUUUAAAGUUGUAUUACAUAAAGAAAGUUUGAUGUUAACUAAAAAUGAUCAAGAGUUUAUCAUGUAACAAUAUUGUUACAAAGAAUAUUAUAAAUAAUUGUAAAAAAGAAAAUGUUUAGAAAUGUGGUUUGAGAAUUACAAUUUGUCAUUACAAAUUAUUUGACCAAAAUGAGGAAUUUAUUAAACAAAAUUAUUAGUUCAAGGGUUUCCCUAGUUACAUUUUGACGAUUACAAAAUAAGACUAAGUAUACUAACAUGUUUUUCAAGUGAAUUUUUUAGGUUUUAUUAAUAAAUUCAAAAGAAAACUCAAAUAUUCUUAUAAGAUAUUCAAAAGUCAUGAAGAAACACAUCCUUGAAGACUCAAGUUGUCUAGGAACCUCUAUAAGAUGAAUCUCAUCAGUUCACUUAGGAUAAAAUAUGUUUAUACACUUCUAAAUGUUGUUUCAUUCAUCCUCACCUAAGCUUAAAAGUAACCUUGUGUCUUCAAAGUGAAUGAAUGUGUUUUACUUCAAAAACUUGGGUUUAAUUCUUUUAAAAAUAUCUUAAAGGUUUUUAAAUGAAAUGCUCGAGUUACUAAAAGAUUAAAACUUAAAAGGAAAGUAUUUUUGUCUAUUUUCUAUGCAACCAAUUAAGGAUGCCUUGAACUGGUCAAAUUGACUAGGACAUCAAUUCAACUGAUUAGGCUUUCUUGGUUGAGAAUCGAUUAAGCUUGUACAAAAUUCUCUCUUUUAAUAGUUGGUAUCUAACCAAUUGAGGUUCACUCAAGCAUUAAAAACACCAAAUGUCACUUGAAGACUAUAUGGCUAAGUCAAUAUGUUGAAUUAGAGCUCAAUUGAUUGAUGCCUUUUUUGUAUUGUUUUGGGGUCUUGAGUUGUUUUCUUAUAAAUUGGAAAACUCUCUUUUAUUUAUUGACAAGAUAACACUAAUAUUGAAUAUUUUUUCACCUACUUUCUCUAUUUCAACACUCUUCAUUUAAGUGCAUUAAAUCCUUCACUUGUAAAUUUUUACGUGCACCGUUGAAAUCCAUCCUAGCCUUUCCUUUGUAUUAAGCUCUACAAUUAUACUAGGAUUCUUCAUUUUCCUAUUCUUGUUUUAAGUAAUAGAAACUUUAAGUUGGUUGAGAACUUAAAGGAUUGUAGUGCCCAUUGGAGUUCAUAAAUUCAAGUAUAAAAGAUUGAAGAUUUGGGUUAAAACCUUGGAUAGUGGAACCUUCACUCGAUUAGAAGGUUGAAGAGAGUAGACAUAGAUUCCCUUACUCUUUAAUUUAUUGCAUUUGUAAUUAAAUAUUUUGUUGUUUUAAUUUAACUAUUUUGUGAAAAGUUUUUAACUACUCAAUUCACCUCUCUUUUGGGUGUUUUUGUUGUCUCAUAAAAAUAAUUAUUUGUUUUAGAUUUUCUUAAUGAUUUCGUGAGAAUAGAGCAUACAUGUGGUGCUAUGCUUGAGGAAUUUUUUUUUGCUAGGCAAGUUAUUUAAGAUUUAGUUUUUUUCAUUAAUACAAGACUGUCCUAAAAAUAGAAAAUUAAAAAAUAAAUAAUUUUAAGAAUAACUUAAUUUUUAAAACAACAUUUUAAAAUCUACGUAAAAAAGAAAAUUUUAGGAAAGUAUUUUUUUUUAUUAAGAUAAAAUUAUCUUAAAAAAUAAAAAAUUUAAAAUAAUUUAAAUUAAAAAAACAAGUUAAUACUUCAACACUAUUAAGUACUAUUUACAUUUAAGACCAUAGAAAAAAACACCAGAAUCUUUUUUAUCAAAGAAAGAAAGCUGACUGGUUCUAACCGUUCAUAAGUAUAACUGCUUUAUAAAAAAUUUCACUCUGAAUCAAAUGAUGAAGGGCUGGUUGGAGAGGGUUCAAGGAAGACAAAAAAAGGAAAAAAAGUCACGCCUGUAUUAAGGCAUCGAGCCUAGCUGUUUGGUCAAACAUCUACACGUGUUUUGACUUCAAAGUUAUCAAGCUUAGAAUUGCGUUUCUUUAAAAAACCAAAAUUUCUUACACUUGGUAAAAUCUCAACACAAACCCAGAUGACAAUCAUCUGCAGUUCCAAGGAUAAAAUUGGUAUCUGAGUCCGUUAAAAUUCAAUUUCAACUGCAUCCAAAUGUUAAAAGGAAAAUGAGAUAAUAACGUUGUAUGGAGUUCACAAGAGCAGGGAUUUCUUACAAAUAAAUAUGCAAAAGAUUUGGGGUCAGCACACUAAUACAAGCUACAGAGGGGCCAAAGAACCACUACCUACAGCAGGGGCUGGCAUACAACAAUGGUGGAUUGAAUCAAUGGAUUUCCAUUCACUUGCGCCUCUUGCACAGCUUUCAGUUCAUGGUGACUCGUAUUGGUGAUAGGCUACUGCAAGUGCAGUCUGCUGUGCCCUGUUUAUCUGAAUUUAUGUCCUCGUGUCAACUACACUUCUCUCAAAAUGGGCCAACCUUUUCUAAUGAUCUCCUCAAUCCUUGCAUUAAUUUGCUGCUGAACCUUCGGUGGGCAAAGCUCUGCUGCAAAACCGUUCAGUUUUGCUGCCAGAGUUGAUUUCUCUAGCUCUUCUUCAGGCAAGUUCCCCAUCAGCUGAAUGAGGAAAGGAUUUCUUUUGAGCUCAAAUUUCUGCAGAUUUUGAAACACGAAAAGUUUGUCAGUGAUGCAAUAAGGUUAGAAACAAAUCUUUUGCCUUGGAAAGGAAUUUUCCUAAAUUGGCAGUAUACUGGAAUGUGUUUUCCAUUUCUUAAAAUAUGAAAGUAGGAAUCAUCAGCUUAAGUGUUUGGCAGUGUGGAAUAUUGAAGAAUUACUGUGGAGGUUCUACACUACACUGCUUCUUGGAAAAAGAAUAGGGAUGCAUUUGGAAAGUAUAAAAAUAAAAUAAAAUAUUUUAUAUAUACAUAUAUGCUUUUCUGAUUCACUGUUCCAGAAACAGAAAGAGCAAAUGAAAGUAUUAGUUCAAAAAAUAGGAUUUCAUGGUAUGUUGUCUGCUCUGUUUAAACAUCUGAGGAAGUCAUUUCUUUUCAGUUUCUGUUUUUAGUUUUUGUUUUUGUUGUUUUUUUUUAAAAAUGUUUUAGUUGUCAACAAACAAGACAGUUCCAGAACCUCAGUUGUGAUUAUCCAACUUAAAAGCUUGCUUUUUAACAGCCCAACCCUAAUACAACAUAGGAUACAAGCUUUAAAUCAAUAUGAAUUUUGCUUUCAAAUCUGACUUCUAAGACAAACUCGCAAAGAAUUGAGUUAUACAUAAACUAUAAGCUCUACAUCAAUAGUAGUUUUUUUUUAAAUCAAGUUGAAGAAUAGAAGAGUUCCACAGUAACAAAAUCAACUACAAGCGCAUAAAGAAAACUGUGAUCAAGCUACCAAACCUGAUGUUCAGGCUCUGCUGGGCAAAAUUUUCCAAGUUGUUGAAUUUGAGUAGUCACAAUACUGCUCUUUGACACAGUUUGUUCUCUUUCUUUGCUGACAGCAGCCAGUCUCAACUCUUCAGUCCCAUUAGUAAAGAUAAUAGACCUAUAGACAUAGAUCGGUUCAUUGGGUAAGUAUGACUUUUAAAAUGAACUAGAAGAUGUUGCUCCAGGUCAUGAGAGUUACCUAUAUUGGUUACCCACAUCAGGGCCUUGCCCAAAUACCUGCCUAGAAUCAUGACUAGACCAGAAAACCUCUAAAAGUUGCCUGAAAGUAAUCAGCCUGGGAUUGUAUUCAAUCUACAUAACAUUCAGAAAUUCACAUUAAACAAGUUCCCAUAAAAUUGACAAGGCAGAAAUGACAGAAACAGAUCUUUCUGGAUAUAAGGAACAGAAAGAAGUUCUAUGAAAACAAAAAGAAGAGAAAAUCCUUAUUUUUGAGCCAGAGUAAAACACAAUCCAUCUUCUACUUCCAGGCCCUAAUAUAUAAAACUGGCUAUGGAUAAUCAAAUACCUGUUGCCUUAUAGCUAAGAGUUCAAACAAUUAUAUCAGCAAGGUUUAAGGUCAUCAGGAUCAGAAAAAGGCUGGCAUUGAUUAGGAGGUAUUUCAGAUUAGUGGCAGUGAAAUGCUUAAGUGAAUUAGAGGGUAAUUCAGAUCACCCUGUACAGUGAGCCUCACAAGCAAUUGGCCUAGUAUCAUACAAUAAAGAACUUACAAUUUAUUCUUCAGUAGCGCAAGACAAAAUGUUUAAUUCAUUAGAUAAAAUGAAUUUCUCGAACAAAGCAUAGUCACAAGCAGAAAAAAUUUGCGUGCCAAGUCCAUAAAAAUCUAAUUACAAUUUAUUCUUCUGCAGAGCGAGAAAAUGUUUCAUUCAUUAGCGAAAAUUUGAAAUGGCUAAGGCAAAAUAGAGAAUUGAAGGAAACACACAAUGGUUCAUCCCUGCAUCAUUUAUCCUUCCAAAACUUCAGCCUCCAUGAUAGAUUUUCAUAGCCCAACCCCAUACCCAUCUAUCCCCACACCAUUUAUCCUUCCAAAACUUCAGCCUCCUUGAUAGAUUUUCAUAGCCCAACCCCAUACCCAUCUAUCCCCGCACCAUUUAUCCUUCCAAAACUUCAGCCUCCUUGCUUCACUCAACCAUCAUCCUCCUCUUCCUCCCCAUAUUUUCUACUAAUGACCUAAUUCCAAAACGGUCCUCUUCCAAUUGCAUACCAUCAUUCCAUUUGCACAAAAACACCUUAUUCGACAAAGAAAGACGUCUAAUGCUCAUCAUCCCACCCCCCACCCCCCUUAGUCUUCUCCAUGCACAUUGUCAGCCAUUUCACAAAAUGCAUCUUUUUCUUCAACACCCCACCUCAGAAAUCCCAAUAAUUUUUCUCCAACCUCAAUCUGACUUCCCUUGGAAUUGAACAAAGACAAAAGGAAUAUGUGAAGGCUAGAUAGAGUGCUCUUGAUCAAUUUAAGCCUCUACCCUUUUAGAGAUAUACUGUCUUUUUCUUAUUGAUAGUCUUUUACGAAACCUCUCUUCCACCUCAUCCCAAACCAUCAUUGAUCUAAAAGGAGAACCCAAAGGAAGACCCAAGUAAGUAAAUGGAAGCUUGCCUUCUUUGCAUCCUAACUCCAAGACCAACUCCUCAGCAUGUUCCACCCAACCAAUAGGAACUAGCUCACUCUCAUCCAAGUUAAUUUUCAACUCCAAUAAAGCUUCAACCACAUGAGCCACCAACUUAAAUGGACUACUUGAUCUUGGGAAGCCUCAUGAAAAACAAGAGUGUCAUGUGCAAACAAGUGAGACACCUCCCCUUCACUGCCUCUCCCCCUCACCCUAACUCAUGUAUGGCAUCCAACCUCACUAGCUCUCUUGAGAAGAUAGCUAAGGGUCUUCAUUGCAACAACAAAUAAAUAGGGAGACAUAGGGUCCCCUUGCUUCAAGCCCCUGUACCUUUCAAAGAAACUAGAAGGUUAUCAUUAACAAUCACUGAAAACCUUGCAGAAGAUAUGUACCAUUUAAUCCAUUGAACCCAUUUUCUGCCAAAACUCAUCUUUUUAAGAACUAAGAUCAAGAAAUUCGAAUUGACAUGGUCAUACAACUUUUCAACAUUUAACUUACACAAGAAUCCACAAGCAUUGCUCUUCAACAUAAGAGUCUAUGGCCUCAUUUUCCUUUAGCACAACAUCAAGAAUUUGUCUACCCUUUACUUCUAUGAUCAAAACAACUCAAAUUGUUAUCAAUACAGAGCAUUUUGCUCACUAAAAUUACAAUCCCAGGAGUCCCUGAGAAUCAUAUUCUGUUGCUAAGCAAAUGGAUUUCCAUUUCAAUCUUUGUGCAAAACCCUUUCCAACUUUGAGCCGUGCAAGUUUAAAUGUAUAAGUAACAGGCAAAUAGGCAUGCUCUUGUUCAUUAAGCAAAAGGAUUUCCAUCUCAAUUUUGGUGCACAAUCAUUCUCACCUUUAACCCAUGCAAGUUCAAAAAUAAAAGUAAUCAGCUCCAUAGAUUUUCCAAAUAAUCGAAGGAACAAAUAAUCCAUAAGCCAGUAUAUUGCUAUACAUAACUAACUCAAUUCUGUUCCAAAAUGUUUCUACACAGCCAUGUCCAAUAAUACUGCAAUGCUGAAAAUAAACAUCAGAAUUCAGUAAUUCCCCCAAUUAGCCUGAAAAUAAUUAUCAUAAUCCAGGGAUUGUCCCAGUAAGCCACACAAGUGAUGUUCUAAGAUUUAAUUCUUUCCUUAGACCUAACAAUAAGCACCAAGGAUUAAAAUAUCAGAAAUUGCAGAAAUAUUGGUGGUUGGAUUUUAUAAAAAUAUUGGAUGGAAAUUCAAACAAAAAAUAUUCAUGGGAUGGAAAUUAAUCAAAAUUCAUAAAAAUAUUUUUUUAAAAAAAUCCAAGAUAUGAUAAAAACAAGCAAUGAUACACAUAUUAAAGUCGCUUUAUUGAAAAAAUUAUAUAUAUAUAUAUAUGCAGCCGAGUUGGUUAGGGUUCGACUAGGAAGUAUGGUCCCAAUAAAUGGCACAUGGUCUUGGGUUCGAAUCCUAUUAUUGAUGAUACCUUGAAUUUACCUGGCACAGGUUGUUGCGGGAUGGUCAGCACCCCGAGGUUUGAUUCCCCAUGGAGAGUCUUAAGGGCUUGGCCAUAGAAGGUUCCUUGGUUAUAAAAUAUAUAUAUAUAUAUAUUUGAUAAUAAUGUACAAAACUUGAAAAUGCAUUUAAUGCUAAAUGAUGACCUAUCUAGUUUGGAUAUAUUUAAGGAUAUAAAAGAAAUGCUUUUUUUUUUUUUAUAAGUAAAAAAAGUAUUGUAUUACGAAGAGACGCUAAAAUAGCGACUCAAGAUGUAAAAAAACAGAAAGGGAAACACUCACCUCCUAACAUGUGAAAAGAAAUGAUGAUAUAUAUAUAUAUAUAUAUAUAUAGAGAGAGAGAGAGAGAGAGAAUAAAAAUCUCAUUUUCUUAAGAAGAUUAUCAUAAUGGUUUUAUAUUUUUAAUAAUCAGUUAAAUCAGAUUCAAAACAAGUUGCACUAAGGGCAAUAACCAUGGUUUCGCAUGCUGGAGAGCCUGGGUUCAAACCCAGGUGGCCCCUUUCCUUUUUAAAACCAAAAAAAAAGGGACCCCUUUCUCUGUGCUGACAUGGGGGAGAUUUUAUAGAGAAAAUUGUCGAAAAAUCAGAAAUUUAUCAGAAAAAUCACCAAAACUCAGUUCGACUUAAUAUCUCUCCCUAUUUUCAACUGAAAUUUCACCAAAAUUCCCAAUAUUUUAAUCCAUGAUAAGCACUUGGAGCUGGCAACAGGUAGCAUAGGGAAUCUUCUAGAAGUGACAAGUGAAAUUUGCUAUAAGAAUGAUGAUCAGUGGCAAAUUAGUGAAAUAUUCUUCCUAGGGUUAUGAUGAUAACCAAUGACAACUAGAACCAGCAAGGGAUAUGGCAUAGCCUGAACAUGAUGUGUUGCAAUCACAACCAAUGAGAAUAAAAUCCUUAAAACACACACACACACAUCCCAUAAUCAUCAAGACUAAGGCUUCACCAUUUCAUCACACUGAAUAUAAAUAAAACAUAAAAAAAUAAAAAAUAAAAGAAACUACACACCAGACAAUUGUUGAGCCACAAGCACAUUAGCCUCUGGAAAUCCUCAUGUAAUUUGCACCAAACAGAUGGUCCCUAGUGCAUUACAAUUCUGGGCCAAGUAUAUAGCCAAACAGGACAAACAACUUAAGGCUCCCCAGAAAUUGGCCAUGAGAAAGAACCACACUUGGGUAGAAUAAUGAUAGCACUAAGCCCAACCACUCUUCAUUGAUGAAUUAGUUGUUUAAAAAAAAUUGUCACUAAAGAACUAGAAAUACUGCAGCAUUUUGGCAAUCCAUAUUUAUGCAUGUAAAAGAACACUAGACCUUAAGGGGGCCAUUGAUGAUGCAACUAGCUAGCUAGUUGAUUAUCUAUUUCUUGUACCACCAACUCUACAUCUCAAAACAUAGUUAAUCAACCGGGUGACUAUCUCUUUGUUGAGCAAUCAAUGCCACAUUUCAAAACACUGUUAAUCAAGCUACAAUGGAUGAAUCAAAUCACUUAGACCGCACUACCUUUGUACAUAUAAAAGUAAUGGAGCCAAGGUGUUCUUCCAUUCCUUUGCAUUUGACCCACUUGGAAAGAGGAAAAUAAAUAUAGGGCAUAUUACAUUGAACCUAAACAAUGAUAAAGUCCCAGCUGAAAUUACUUGUUCUUCCAUUCCUUGUUAUGUUAUUGCCAUAAAAGCCAUGAUAAUAAUGCAAAAAAAGCAAGAAAAAGGAAGCCAAAAGGAUGAGAAAUGUGAAGAUUAUAUCAGCAAAUGACAGGGGAAAAGGGAAGGCCUGCUCUUUCUAUUAGGGCCAAUUAUUUGACACACAUUACCCAUAUAUUUUAGUCCCACUGGAAAAAAACAAAGAGAAGAAGAUCAGGGUGAAAAGAUUAUUGAAAUGGGGUUUAUUGUCAUUCCUACUCUUUCCAUAUAUUUGCUUACUAAGGCAUAAAUAUGGUAUGAGAAGAAUUCAAAUACAACACCAAAAUCUCAUGUACUGCUCAAAAUUUGCACAUUUCUCUCUUUUGGUAAAAAGCACUAACUGAAUCAUAUCAGAUUUUGGAAUGAGCUUAUGCAAAUUGCUUCCCUGACCCAGGUACAUAUGGUAGUAAUCAAACUUUGACAGCAUUCUCCCCAUCAUGGAAAAAGAAAGGAAGCUCUCAAAGAUCCAGUAAAAUGGAAAAUUUCUAUAAAAAGAUCAUCCUCUUGGACCUUUGACAUAUAAUCCUUUCGCCAGAACUAACAAUUUUUAUGGGCAAGCAACUUCUUUUGAAGGUUCAGAUAGGACACUGGCUAAACUAGAGUGAAACUACAUCUAUCCUGAAACCAGAUUUAUUCACCUUCCAAUUACUGAACCUUAUAAAAGAAUGGCUUUGGCAACCUCCUGGUUCAAAUAACAAGAACUGUUACACCAUAAAAUGAACCCAAAUAAUUAGAGACUCGAAGACAAAGGCUUUCUUUUGCUAAACCAAAUUGAAAAGGAAAAACUCUACAUCUCUUCACUUAUUUAAAAGAAAAAAAAUAUGAAAAACUUCCAUGGCUGAGGAUUUAGAUUCUUCAAUGGGUAUGCACAUAUCGGGAAAGAAAUUGCAAACUUCAAUAGUCUAUCAGCAAGCAAGAUUCAAUUAGAAUAACAAUAGAAAUGUAAACAAUCAGCUCAUGGAAGGUUGCAAGCAGAUGAUUAACAAGGAAUAUAACAACACUACGGCCUACCAACGGAAUUCGUAAAUUUCUGGACAAUGUAUCAAGCGACCUAACAAGGAAUUGGCAAAUUUCUGGAUAAUGCAUCACCACUAUGGCCUAGUUAUGACUCAUGAACCCGCUGAUCCGGCUCAAUGUUAGGUUUUCUUUUAGGAGAUCCUAUGAAGCAUUUGUGAUGGAAUAUUUCCAUCUUGUUCGAAAAAUUUAUCUGCUUUUCCGAUCAGUUGCUGAGAUUCCCGGAGCCUCAAACAACUCUUUUCACUUAAAAGAGGUCAAUUUUUUUUCACAAUUUUGGAAAUCCAAAAUAAGACAACAUUUUCUUUCUUCACCUUGUCUUUUUCCUACAUUUUCGCAGCAACAAAACCGGGUUCCAGAUUAAGAGAAAGACAAACUCAAAAUAAUGAACCAGAGAAUAAAAGGAGGAGAACUGAACCUGAACUGACUCGGCAUGAUCGCCCCAGCUUCUGUACUCGGGGUUGGCCUUGGAUCCACCGGCGUAACCCGCGGUGGUCCGUACAACUCCAUCCAAGCAUCCAAACACGGCCUCGGAUCUCCAAAAGCUUCCGAGAGCGAAAACCGCCGUUUUCAGAGGCUGAUUGGACGAAGCCUUCACGCUUUCCGAGAUCCGAUCGGGAAAUCUUAUACUCACAGCUCUCUCGGCCGUUAAAAUGAUUAAAACAACAGAGCAUAUGAUUCUCGAGUAAGGAAGAGACACAUGCCUCCCCGAAAACGUCAUUUCAUUUGCCUUGCCCCCAAAGGCCAAAGCUGCCGAGGAAGAGUUUUUAUUUAUUCCCCUUUCUUUUUCAAAAUUUCCCGAGAAUUUUCAGCAGCAGUGUCCACUGCCCAAUUUUCGAUUGUUCGGAGCCAGGCUGUGAGCCAGGCCCAUUUAAAUUUAUCGAAGUUAUGGCCAAUGGGCCCAAGGCCUGAAUCCGCAGCUUACAAACAGAGGUUGGACAAGUCUGUAAUUUACCUUAUUAUUUUAAAAUUUCAAAAACAAAUAUUAAGAAAAAAUUUAAUUACUAUUAAAAAUUUUAAAUUAUGUAUAUCUAAUUUUUACAUUUAAUUUAAGAGAAUCGAUUUCAUCUAAGAAUCUUACAUGUAGUAGUUAUCUUUUGAAAGACUCGAACCACCUUAAAAAAUUAAUUUUAUAUGUGAAUAAAUAUUUUUAAUUAAAUCUUUAGAAAUUGUUAAAAUAAAUUUUGGCUUUUAAUGACAGUGAAUUGAAAUCGUGAUGCCAAGAAGUGAAGUGAUCUCAUCCUUCCUCUUAUUUUAGGUUCUUUUUAAUUUUUUUACCUUUGCCUCGAAUUCUUAAGAGGGUGUUCAAAUCACCCUUUGGCACAACUGAGCUAUCAAAAAUGCCCUCUCUUAACAUGAAGGAUGGCAUCCGACGAGGAAGAUCUCACAGGCGACAGGCCCCAAGGAUUUACCUGGCUCCAUUUAGGGCUGUGUCGGACCUUGACCAGAGAUUAGCCAUCGACAAGUUCAUCUCAACAUGAUGAGGUCCAAAUGCUCCAGGGUCCAAAUUGAGUUUGAAUUAUAACAGGAAUGAACAAUUCAAAAUCCAUUUAUAAUAUUUUUUGUAAUAUAUUUAUAUAAAAAAUUAAAUAAUAAA